rnacentral:lncRNA from 1 species
GAAAAGAUGCAAAAUUGUCAAAAUUGAGAUGGAUAUGAUGGUGAAAUAGUAAAAGGUUUGAGCACGAAUUUUGUGACGGCAGAAAACGCUGCGAAAAAAAAAUCCGAAGAGGGCCCCAAGUCCUUGCUAAAGAUUUUGCACUGUGACUUUCGCAACCUCUUCGAAAUUGAAAUUGAAAACUGGGGUUUGAUCUGGUAUCAGCCUCAGUGGAUGGGUCGUAUGAAAAGGCGUGGGGUUACAUUCUAAUAUUGAAUGCCAGCCUAGACUGCUCCCAACAUUUUAAUAGUUGCUAGUACGCUAGUUGCUAUCUGCCGUCACGAAGUUCCUGCAUUGAUCAAAGAUCUUUCUGCUGAUCCAUCUAUGUGAAUGUGAUAUGAUUGUGGCGGAUUGCCGUUAUUUGUUUCGGUCUAGAUUUGAAGUUCGGAUUUUUUGUUGUGGUUGAAAAAUUGGGAAAAAGGUUUGGGAUUUAUGAGAAAAUGCUGUAGAACCCAAUUUUUUUCUUUGAAAUUUGAUGGUAUGGGGUCAAGCCAGUGUAUGUUUGAUUUGAUUGUAUGAGCUUUAACUUGUUGGUUGUAUGAUUGAAUCUGUAGGUUGUGUUUUCUUGUUUUCAGAUUGCAGGUAACUCUAGUGUUUCCGAUGGCAGUGUUGAUAUUGUGCAUUUAAAACAAAUCCUUUGUGUGUAUAAUCUUAUUGUAAGUGAAUGGUGCAUGGUUUUUAUGUGAUGGGUUGCCAAGUUUGUGCGGUUUUGGUCGUCUGGAUGCCCGCAUUUCCUUUCUAUGAGAGGUUUUAUGAUGUUUGGCAUUAAAUUUUGCCUCGAGUUGAUGAUUAUCUUGUUUUCAUCUUGGUCAAUUAGGGUAUCCCCUUGUUGAUGUGUUUAGCUAUUUAUUUUUCAUAUGCAUAGCUGCGCGUUCUCUACUGGUAGCAAGAGUCCAUUUAAUCACGUUAAUUUCCUUGUCUUCCAUUUUGAUUGUUGAAGAGUCUCUCUGCUGGAGUGUCUGUUUCUAGAGCUACCAAGAUUCUAUUGUCUCCUCCCCCACAGUUAAUCGCCUCUUUUUUCACCUUGAAGCCAUUGGCGACAUUCAGAUUUGAUUCCCAUAUCAAUUGUGCGCAAACACGUCACAUGAAAGUAUAGGCAUUACUGUUUGGUUCAACAUGGCCUUUACAUCGUGUUCUAAAGGUUGAUGUGAUUACUUGUUCAUUUGAGUGUUUGACCAUGUAUUUCGAGUUAACUCUGUGAAAAGUAUUGCGUGUUGUGCCUUGUUUAGGAGGCGGUCUAGCUGGGAUCAACCCGUACAUCUUCUGAAUCAGUUUAUGACUCAGGUAUUCAAGUUCUGGACAAGAAGAGAACACAAUAGUGUGAAAUGAAAUUUGAGCAAUGUCAGCCCUGGCAGCAUCCUUCGACAUGCUCUGAAUUGUGUAAAAUAGUAGAGAAAUGUCAGUUUUCCUGGGCUGCAGACGUUUGUACCUAGAGUGAUAUGUAGUGCUUAUUUAAGAAAAAAAGAGGCCACUGUUGUUUUUGAUAUCUGAAAUAUUCAAGAUAAUGACACUGCAUUUGCUUGUUCGUUUCUGAAGAUGACAAUGUAUCAGCGGGCGCGACCCACCCACACUAUCUCUCAUACAAAAAAUAAACGGAUGAGAUUGAAAAUAUAAGAUCUAACAUUUCUAGAAAUUAAAUCUAAUGGCUAAAACACGAGUCACUGAGUGCUACAUUGCAUUGAAGUUGGACUCCAAAUGUAGUAUAUCUAUCAUUUAUGAGUUUCAAAUGCGUAGGUUUCGAGCAAGUGAUUUGAAAAAAGAAAGGGUUUCCUAUGAGAAUUAUUAUCGGUACAAAAUUUUAUUGGACACUUCUGGUAAGUGUAUUUAUUUUCUUCUUUUACAUGUGGUAAGUUUAAAAUGCACAAUUAUACUUUUAGAGUGUCAAUAACAGUUAUCGUUCUGGUCUAGGAGUAUUUCUCUUCAUCUAGAAGUGAGAGGUCUUAGGUUCAAAUCUAGUGGAUGGCGAAUUCAAUACUAAAUUAGGUUGCUUAUUGUGUAGUUUAACCGAACUUUCUCUUCUCUUAGUGUAAAAAUAUAUCGAUGUAUUAAAAAAACAGUUACUGUUCUUAUUUGGGCCGUGUUUAUCAUGCCAAUUUUAACCUAUGCAUUCAUUUGAAUGAAAUUGAUUAAAUUAAUUUAAUUAGUUGAUUGUUUAUUUCAAGUAUAUAUUUUUAAUAAUUAAAAAAUAUUAAAAAAUUCAGAAAAAAAAAGAAGAAACUUUUCCACCUUAAAUAAAAAUGAGUGUUGAAUUAAUAGAGCUUCUAAAAUGGAAAAGUGACGCCGACCAUAUACGAGGGAUACACACUCACAAAAAGUUCACCAAAGAAUGAGUAUAUAGUUCCAAUCAGGAUCAUGAAUCAUCACUCCCACCUCUUUUGCUUUCAUGACUUUCUAGUUUGCUUGGAAAUAACUCACGUGUUAUAAUAUAAAUGAACGAUAAAUAGAGAGUAUAAUUUAAGACCAAAAGUCAUAAAUGGUUGCUUAUAAAGGCUUCCAUUUCGUCACAUUUAUCAUUGUGAUUUACUUCUUAUACCAAUUCGGUCUAUCGAUUGUUCAAUUUUCUUCAACUUGUCUAACUUGAUCCCCGCUUCACGUUUAGGGGUAUUAUAAUCUUAUCGUAUUCAAUUUCACUUAAUAGUUGGAAGAUGCAAGCUCAAGUUUUAGAACACGAUCUUUUGGGUAAGAUUAGGCACUUGCAACCAAGUUUUUUUCGAGUUUGUUUGGAGUGAAAUUCGCGUUCACUCCAAUUGGUCAAGUGAGAUUGUACACAACAAAAUGAUUAUACAUGGGCAAAACUUGUAUGCCAAGUUAAAUUAAUGUUACGAGUAAUGGCAUGUUUGGUUGCUUCUAUAAAAACACUUACCUUCAUAACCAUUUUUUUUCAGGAAGCACUUGAAUUUCUAAAUUCUAAGUUUUUAUACCGAACGCAGACAAAAAACAUUUUUAGACCUUCCAACAGUAAUCUCAAACAAUUCCUAUCGUGACAAUUUAAAUAAAGCACAUGUUAUAAUAUGAAUAGGUUUCAAGAUCGAGUUAAUAUUGAAAAUUUUUCAUUUGUUUGGCAUUCGAAAAAUCAAAAUAUUACAUAUAGGUGAAUCCGUGACAACACAUUUUUUAUCAAUCUCGUUUUCGGAUACUAUCGUCCAAUGAUGUGCGUAUUUUGGUGUGUGAAACACUAAGUAAUAAAGAAAUGGUUGACAAAAUCUUCUCAUAAAGAAGUUAUAAUUUAACUUAAGACGUGUUCUAUUUUUCUAAUUUUUCAAAAAAGUACAGAAAACAAAUCAAAUGACCGCCCCACUCAAAUUGUUUAGGUGGCCACUAGUUGACCUAACCAUAUAAUUUGGGUUUUAGUGUUGCAAACUGCAUCAUCUUUUCCACUGGGUUUCAAUAAUUUUCAAAUUAAAUAAAUAAAUAACGUACAAGGAAAUUCCAUAUCAUAUAUACAUAUAUAUAUAUAUAUAUAUAUAUAUAUAUAUAUAUAUAUAUAUAUAUAUAUAUAUCAGCCCCUUAACAGAAGGGAAUGGAAAUUAGUUGUGUGGUCCACACCAUAUUGAACUUCAAUGAUCUGAAUCGUCUAUUUUAUAAGUCUCGAUUUAUAGAUCGUUCUUACAAAAAUUUGAUUCAAUCCGAAACUAUUUGUCUAUUUAAUUGUUAUGAUGAUUUAACGUUUCUUAGAAAAAAGUGUUCGUCAAUUUCAUUUAACUCAAGUAGAUGUCUCAAAUAUUUCCGAUUUGGCUAAUAUUUUGCAAGGAUGAUAUGUGAGGUGCAACUUGGAAAAAUAGACAGUUUGAAUCGUUGAAGUUCGAUGUGGUGUGCGUUGCAGCACCAAUCCCUAAUUUUUUUUAAAUGAAAAUUCAUUUCCUUAAAGAUUAUAUAUAUAUAUAUAUAUAAAUAUAUAUUUCGCAUUUUAUGUUCUGUUUGUAUAAUAUAAUAGAGAUAAUUCUUCUUCACUUGUAAGUGAGAUAUUUUAGGUUUAAUUCUCGUUAAAUGCGAAUUUGAACAAAAUUACUGCUAACUCAUUGUGAGACUAAACCUACUUCCUCACAUUUAGUAUAUAUAAUAUCGUUUGUUAAAAAUAAAAGGGAUCAAUGUCGUGGGAGAAGAGCAAGCAACUAAAAAAGUUUGAGAUGAAAAUAGUUUUAUACUCUUCAUUAUAUUAAUUUGUUAUUAAAUUAUCAUUUGAAAAAUAAUAUCUUAAGACGUAAGUGGUACUGAAAAAUGUUAGGCUUAUGCCAUUUAUGGUACAAUAGCUACGUCAUCGUCGACAACCGUAUGAGUAAGUGAUUUUUAAUUUAUGUUCAUUCGAUUAAAUAAAUCAAAAGAGAACAAAAAUAAAAAAAAUAAAAAAUAAAAAGUUUACAAAAGAGAAAAAGAAGCAUGCAAAAAUCACUAUAACUAUUUCUCUUGAAUAAUUAUAGUAUGGAUUGCAUAUUUCACUCUGUCUACUUCGGAUUGUUUUGAGCAAUCUAAGGUAAACACGAAUUUAUUCAAGCACCCUAGCUUGUUGAGAAUUUUUGUUAAUUAAACGGAUUUGACUAUACGUCUUUUUAUUGUAUCUUGCUUGAUGAUUAUUAAUAAAGUUUUUUCCCUCGUGCCAUGGAGGUUCUCUAAAAUCAAUUAUAAGUAUAUAUAGACUGAACAAAUUAGCUUGUCAAGAAAGAAAUACUAUACUAAUCUUUGUUAAACAUUGUUAAGAAAAAGAGGUCCAAAUCUUGUGGAAAAUGAUUAGUAGGUAUAACGAAAGUACACCAGGUGGUUCGUUUACAAAUUUUUUGGUAACAAAAAAUAAUGCUGGAAAAUCAUGAACCAUGCAAACAAUGAAGAUAAUUAGGCCAUCUUCAAUUGAAAGAGCUAAAUAUAGGCACAUUCUUUUUCGUUGAUUUGAGAAUGUAUUUAUGUCAAGUUUAAUCGAAUAAAUUUAUUAAUGUUAUUAAGUCUAAUAUCUUUUUUUUUUGUGGCUUUGAAGAAUGUUUUGGACAAUAAUUUUUUGUUAAUUUUGAUAAAUGUACCCAUGUUUAUAUAUAUAUAUAUAUAUAUAUAUAUAUAUAUAUAUAUAUAGACACACACAAAAAAUAUAUUGGAGAGUAAUAAUUUAAAUUUUAAUAUUUUUAAUCUCACAAAUUAUGGGUUUUAUUUAAAUCUCUUUAAUAUAAGCAACUACAUAUUUUAAUUUUUAAUUCAAAAAAAAAUAUAGUAACUUACAUAGAAAUACCAAGGUUCUAAAAAACGCUAAGUGAGGCCUAGGUGGACGCCUAUGCGGAUUUAAGUAAAUCAUAUAAAUAAGUGCCUAUUUAUACUUAAAUAGUACAUAAUUGUAUUAAGAAUCUGAGAUACAUAAAUUACAAAAUAAAAUGACAUAUAGAUUAAUUAAUUUAUAUAUAUAUAUAUAUAUAUUAUUGUUGACCCUAGAAACUACAAAGCCUACGUGGCGCGCAGGCCGAGUAAUUAAUGAGCUAACUACGUCCUUCGGUGAAUGCGGGGCGUGCCAACUCGUCGGCCGAGCUCGGCCGAGGAGUAAAUUUGUUGAUGUUGCGUUGGGUCGCGCUACUGACUUCUGCGUCUUGCGAUUGCGGCCGAGAAAGGAACACGUCUCGGCCUCUUGGGCUCUCGAACCUGAAGACAAGGUUACUAUUCUUACGAAGUUCAAUAUCAAAUUCGGCUUUCAAUGUGCCGAAUGUAAUAACUGUAACACCUCACUUCGCCGAGAAGGCUGAUGAGAUGACCUCGACCAAUAAGGAUUUAGAAAUCCUCCUCGACCGAGGCUUGGAUAGGUAAUCAAUCGUUCUCGCCGCAAUGCUGUUGAUGCCAACGGAAGGUACUGCGAGACCGACUGACUCUACGGUGAUAGAGCUAUUUAUGCCGACUUAAGAUAUCACCGGUUGCUUCCACAGUGCUGUUGAUGCCAACGGAAGAUGUGUCAGCGAAAAAGGAAAAAGAAAAAUCACAAGUUGUGAGAAUUUGCGCAGGGCAGUUUUGUAUUGAUUUGCAGGGGGCUUGUUAUGUUGCUAAAUGUCUUGUAUUUAUAGUAGCAGCACAUCGAGCCCGAGUUCCAAUCCUAUUCGGACUAGGUUUCCUUCUCCGGAUUAACAUCCCCUCGAUCAGUCCUAUCUCCGCUAGGACUACGAAUCUAGUCCUUAACUGAGCCGGAUUCGCUUUCUAGAUUAUUGAUCUCGUCGAGAGUCACUAUUGUACUAAGACUCGACUUGCGUUCUGAUUUAACCGACUUAGGCUUGGAAGCCCAUGAGCUGAACGCUCCAUGACCCUUUCGUCGCCCGGCUUCUCGGGCCGAGAGUGAUUCUACCCUCGGCCCAAACUAUUAUUUUGGGCCCAAACAAUUAUAAAAUAGGAGUAAAUAUGUAAAAUUUUAGGGUUCCUUAUCUUGGUUUUCUAACAUUUUUUCCCAAGUCUAUAUAUAUAUAUAUAUUUUUUUUUUUUUUUAAUUUAUUAUUAUUAUUUUUUUUUUUUUUAGGUGACAAGUCAAUAUGUUUUGAUCAUUGUUGGUCCUUAUUUUUCAUUCGAAAAAGGAUUAGGCUUUGUUUUCACAUUAAAUAAUGACAUAAUUAAUUCUCUAAUUCUAAAAGAAAUAUCAGUCACUUAAAACCCCUAACUCUAACCCUAGCAAACAAAUAACCUCACCGUCUCAUUCUUCUUAUUUGCAAAUUGAAAUUUUAUAGAGCUCUGUGCUGUCUCAUUAUUCUUCUAUGCAAAUUGCAAUUUUACGGAGCGAUCUCUAUCUCUCUUCAAAUUUUCUAUGCCGACUCAUCUUAUAGGCAAGCAGAGAAGGGACAGGACGCAUCGACGCGACAAAAACGCAACGAGAUGGUGGAGAUGCACUACUUUUUCAGUGACAACUUUUAAAAAAAAAAUUACAUAACCACCAGAGGCCACCAACGCCUAUUAGCCCUCCCAGGCAACCGUCUAGGUGUUGCCUAAUAGUCUAGCCAACUGAUUGAACGAUUUUGGUACAAUUACAGCAGUGGGCUAUUGUUGAGCACCUACGUCGAUUUUUAGAACAUUAAGAAAUACAUUAUUACAUUAAUGUUAGGGAUUUCGAUGAAAAACUGAAAACCAACAAGAUUUUAGUUAAAUAAUAUUGAUAGCUAGGGACCGUAUCCAAAGUCUCCCAAAAUUAACCAUGGUUAAAUAAAAGGACACUUGACAUAUGAUUAGGUGUAUGGUAAGCAUGCAUCAAAGUUUAGGGUUGUGAGCAAAAGUACUCCCUUGCUAUUUUUACCGUCUAUUUGUACCAUCUCUCUAAUAGAGAUGAGACCCACAUAUGUUGGUGGACCCUCCUCUAUCAGAGAGGUGACACUAAGGAUGGGCAAUGGUUAUGCGGGCGGGUAACCGCGGUUAAUUUACCCAUAACCGUUUAUGCUCAUACCCGCAUAACCGUUUACCCGUUGGGUAAUUGCCUAAACGGUUAUACCCAUACCCAUAACCAUUUAUAAACGGUUAACCAUACCCAUAACCGCAUACCCAUUUAACCGUAACCGUUUAAUACCCGUUUACCCAUUUAUCAUUUUUAACCCGUUUAUCUUUUUUUUUUUACCAUUACCCUUUUUUCACCUGUCUACAUGUUUUUUAACAACUUGAAAAUUAAAAAAAAAUUGUCAAAAUUUUUUUUUUUUUGACAAUUAAACACCGUUAUAGGUACAUUCAUCAUACAUUUCUAUAUUUUAAUUUUUUAAGUUCUUAUACCAUUCUAAUAAUUGAAAUAAUAGUUUACGGACAAUAUUUUUAACUGUUACCAAUGAAGGUAAAUAUAAUAUUUGCUAAGUAUUAUUAGGUUACAAAAAUUGUUUAGAAGAUAUUUCUGUCAAAACAUUUCUAUCAAUUUCACGGUUACCCACAAAGAAUUUAAAUUAAUUUGGCCAAUUCCUUGAUGAUGAGAAUCAUCAUUCCUGUAGUAGUGUUAUUGAGAGAAUGACCGAUGAAUUCUUUGCUAAUUUAUUGGGUGCUAAAUAUUAUUGGAUUGAGAACAUGGUUUGUGUUAAUUUUACAUAUAUAAAAUAAAUGGGUAAACGGUUAUCCAUUUAUAACCGUGGUUAAUACCCAUAACCGCCCAUUUAAAUUUCGCAGGUAAACGGUUAUACCCAUAAUUGUUUAUUUAUCUAAACGGUUACCCAUAACCGUAACCGUUUAAUUUAAAUGGACGGGUAACCGUGGUUACCCAUAACCAAUAGGUAUUUGCCCAUCCCUAGGUGACACAAAUAAUAGUACAAAUAUGUGACAAGGGUAACAUUACUCAUAAUACAAUACCUUAAAAUGCUAGGAACCGUAUCCAAAGUCUCCCAAAAUUAACCAUGGUUAAAUAAAAGGACACUUGACAUAUGAUUAGGUGUAUAGUAAGCAUACAUCAAAGUUUAGGGUUGUGAGCAAAAGUACUCCCUUGCUAUUUUUACCAUCUAUUUGUACCAUCUCUCUAAUAGAGAUGAGACCCAGAUAUGUUGGUGGACCCUCCUCUAUCAGAGCAAGUCCACCCCUAGGGACUUUGCGCCAGCACCCAGCGCAUUUAUCCACUUAAGUGAACAGUAAUAGGCCAAGGCAUCUCCACCCCUAAAAAAAUGCGCUGGCACCCAGCACAUUUAUUUGGUGUGUUUUUUUUUUUUAAGUUUAUUUCGGAUAAGAUUUUUAACCAAUUUCAGAUAAAAUUUCAAAUAAACUUAAAAAAAAUACACACUAAAAUAAAAUUACAUACCCAUCAAAUAAACUUAAAAAAAACACACUAAAAUAAAAUUACAUAAACUCAUCAAAUAAACUAUAAAAAAAAACACACUAAUAUGAAAUUACAUAAACUCAUCAAAUACACUUUAUUCUUCAACCACAAGCUUUUUGGUAUUUUUUUUCACACAAAAAGUAUAUGAAAGCUUUGGUAGAAAGUGUAGAAAAUAUUGAAAUGUGGUGUAAGGUGGAAGAUGAGAGUUAGGUAUUUAUAGAAAAAUAAAUAAAUUUUUUUUAAAAUUUUCUGUAUUUUUUAAUAUUUUUUAAUUUAGUUAAUUAACGUGGACCGUUGAUCUGUGAUCGGACGGUCUAUUUUAAAAGUAAAAUUUUAAUUUUUUUUACCGUUCGAAAUCCAACGGCUAUGAGCAUGCCACGUCGUUGAUGGGAUUCGGAGCACAAGUGGGCUGACAGCCCCUCUGCAGCCUGUCGGCUACUCGCGCCCAGGCGCGCUUGUCGUGCAUGCGCCAGCCAAAUAGGCCGGCUUCUUGGUCUGUCAAAAUUGGGCUGGCCUGUUGCCUGGCAUGGGCUGGGUGCCAGGCAACUUUGUGGGCUGGAGCAAAUUCACUGAGGGCUGGCUUGUUUUUUGGACUGAGGGCUAGGACAUUUUGUUCCCGGUGGACUUGCUCUCAGAGAGGUGACACAAAUAAUAGUACAAAUAUAUGACAAGGGUAACAUUACUCAUAAUACAAUACCUUAAAAUGCACAUGACAUGUGCCACUUAGUACUACGUUCUAGUGGUAUUCCUCUUCACUUGUAAGUGAAAGGUCUUAGGUUCAAUUCUCGCUAGAGACAAAUUUGAACCAUAUUAUUACUAGCAUAUUAUCAGGCUUAACCCACUUCCACAGACCCAAUGAGAUUUCAUUAGUCUUUCCGGCCAACUGAAAUCAACUCAACUCCCCCCAAUUAAUUAUUAUUAACAACCAUCAAUACAAACCCAAACACAAUACAAUCGAACUGACUUAAUUUAAUUCAAUACGGGGACUUAAUUGUGAAUUUUUUUAGUGUAGCUAUCACAUUAUACGUAAUGUUAUCACUCUACUAAUGUUAUGAUAUGUGUGUUUAAUUAUUAUAUUAUAACCAAUUAGUAUUAUGAUUUAGUGGUAUUCCUCUUUGCUAGUAAGUCGGAGAUCUCAGGUUCGAUUCUUUGCCAAAGGCAAAUUUGAACCACAUUAUUACUAGCCCAUUGUGAGGCCUAACCCACUCCCCACCCUCUUAGUAUAGAUAUAUCAUUCGUUAAAAAAAAUUAUAUUAUAGCCUAACUCCCUAAAAUAUUGGCCGUGUUGUUCAAUAAUUUUACAUACCAUGUCAAUUAACAACACUAUGUGACAGUGCAAUUGUAAUACUCAAAGAAAAUAAAAUUUCAAAUUUGAGGAUCCAAACAAUUUGAAGGUCUAGUCCAAGUUAGAGCAUCCCUAAUUGAGCUUUAUCCUCCUUGAGGCUACCAUAUUUGUAGCUCUAAUGAAAAUUUUCAUCUCCAAUGGGCUGGAAAAUGAAGCUACAUCUACCACCUGGGCUAGCAACUUCAAUCAUUGGGUAACAAAGAGUUAGGCUACAUCUAGCCUAAAAAACGUAAGGGAAACCCACACCAGAUUGAGGGCCCAAUCUUCUCUUUUUUUUUUAAUUUUUUUUUAAGAAAUGGGUGAGCCCCAUUUUUAAUUCCAAAACAUGAUUUUAAGGGUUUAUUUUCCAACCGUUUAGGAUUUUAAAGAUUUUUUUUAACCGUUUGUUUGAUUAAGAAAACAUAUACAAACAACGAUUAUUUUUUGUGUGAUUGAUUAGAAAAAAAUGUUGUACUUUGUGUUUAAUUUUCAAAAAUUGAAAAAUUCAUAAAAAAAUGAUGAAAUUUAAUUGGUAGUAUUUAGAGACCUAAACCAAAAAUAUAAACAAAUAACAUAACUAAAUUGUGCUAAGAUAAUCCAAUCCAAUGGUUGUUAUGAAAUGAAAAUCUUGUUUGAUUUUGGAGAAUGUGUCAAUCUGAGAGAAAAACCAACGGAUGAGAUUGAGAUAAGAUAAACACAUCCAAUGGUUGUUAUGAAAUGAAAUCCUAUCUUGUCUGAUUUCAUAGAAACAAACCAAUGAAUGAGAUUGAGAUAAGAGAGCCUCCAACAAUGCAUAAAUGAUAAAAUCUAACUUUGUCAGAAUUUGAAUAUUUUAAGGUUAAAAAUUUCAUAAAUUAAAAUUUAAGAUAACACUCCAAAAAUCAAGUUAAGAAAAGUUAAGACAAAAAUAAAUUUACUGCGCAAUCAAAUUACUACAAAAUAAAAUAUAUAACCUCAUAUAAAGCCCGAAAGAUAUAAAGCCCCUUAUGAGAGAAAUUCUUUUUUUUAGAGCCCAAAAGAUUCCUCGGAGGUCUAAAUUGGGAUAUAUCCAUCGCUUUCUAGCCCCAUAUAUAGCCCUUCAUUGGGAUGCUCUUACAAACCAAAACAUGAUUAUCAGGGAUCGCGUUGCUCAAUCAUUUUAUAUACCAUGUCAAUUAACAACACUAUAUGACGGUGCAACUGUAAUACCCAAAGAAAAUAAAAUUUCAAAUUUGAGGAUCCAAACAAUUUGAAGGUCUAGUCCAAGUUACAAACCAAAACAUGAUUCUCAAGGACAAUAGUGGUGGAGUGGAGUGGUGGCUUACCAAUGUUUAAGAUACGGUUGAUAUUUCCAUAGAAAUAUCCAAAAAAAUUAGGGAGAGAUAUGGAAAUGGGUGAUGAAGUCUAAACUUCACCUCAUAUCGAAGAAAUUCUUAAGUUUAUACUAAAAUCGAGAUAUAUCGUCGAUAUUUUUAACACAUUUGUUAAAUAUUGGAGAAACUCUUAUAUUUCAUACAAACCAAUGUUUGAUAGUCCCUAAAUUUUCAUAUUAAAUUUCCAUCAUUUCCAUCGAAAGUAACAGAUGUCGAUAUCAAUAUUUUCACAAAUUUGCAUAUCGAUAUUUCCAUUUAUACUGAUAUUUUAAACAUUAUGGCUUAUCCAUCCGCAUGGUAUAUGAAUUAUGGAAAACUCAUAUGACACCGAUGCUGAGAAACCUUACCAUUUGAAAUCCAAUCAAAGGAUUACUGAAAAUGUAGAAACAUUAUAUGGACCUAAAACUAGUACUGUUUGGUCACCAUGCAAGAUCAAAUUACUGUGUUGCUCAUGCAUGAAUUUAUAGGCUAUCACCAACAAAAUGCCGAGACAUUCAUUCAUAUAUGUCUGGUUGUAUUGUAUGUGAACUAUUUUGGCACUUUUUCUUUAACCUAGAGACGUAUACAUGAUUGAUCCUUUUUUUUUUUUUUUAUAAUAUAAUUUCAUUACUUUUUUGGCUCCACUUUUUCGGGGUCUAGAAUACUCACAGAGGCAUUUCAGCUUCUCCUGUCCAUUAUUGUGUGAUUCACCAGCACUAGAAAUCGAACCUAGGAUAUGUCGUGUGGAAUAUGAGCCUGUAAUUCGUCCCCAACCACUGAGCCACCUCGCGGUGAUUUUUCCCUCGAACAUUCUUAGGGUUGGUUUUAUAGUACCAUUUUUCACAGAAAAUUUUCUUGUUGUUAUAAAUAGAACGGAAUAAAAAUGUAUUUUUUCUUUUAAUACUAUUUUCAUGUAUAUUUUUUUCAUUUUCUUCCCACCAUUGUUCAUAUAUUUUUUUUCUCCCAUCAUAUUUACUCUCUAUUAUCAAUAAAAAGGUGAAAACUAUGAACUCAAAACGAAAUCGCUAUCAGACGACAUUUCCACUUAUAAUUUUAUAAUACAAGCAAUAACAAAAGAGAGAAAACUGAACAUGAGAAAUAUCGACAAAAAAAAAAGAACAUGAGAAAAAUAUCAAGAGAGGGGAAAUCAAACACAAAAUAUCUACUGUUAAGAAAAAUACUGUUACCCACUGGAACUACAACUCCAUGGGAGACAUAUUGUUAUUAUUUACUUCCUCAAAUCUGAACUUUUACUGAUUUAUUACGAUCAUUUUACCAAGAAAACCAUUCCGAUUUCAUUGUAAGUAAACAUGCUCUAUAAUUUUGUCAUUUACUUACAUGGCACCAACUCUGAGUGGACCCAUCAUGGCGCUGGGCCCCAACUUUUGCCCUAAACUACUAAGUGCAGCAUAAACAUCCAAAUAGUUGCCAACCCCUUCCCAUUAGAUAUAUACUUGUUAAAUAAUAUUAAUAAUAAUAAAAAUAAUAAUUUACACCUCAAUAAAUUUAAGUUAUUCAAAUUGAGAACUUUAACGAAAAGCUCAUGAUACUGUUCACUUUAAUGAAAAACCACAUUUUUAUACUAAAAAGUUAAUCAUGGUACUAUUCACUUUACCCUUUAUUUUGUCCUUAUCGUUAAAACUUAAAGUUUUCAAGCCAUUUUCAUUAGUUUUUCUAUUAAAAUUAGCUAGUUGAAUUAAAAAGAAAAUGAAAAUGCAUACCUGCUUGGAUGACGAGUUUAUAUAUAAUUAUUAUGGAAUAUAAAUGACUUAUUAUAUGUGUUUAACCAAAUUUUUACAUUUUAUAAUCAAACAUCAUCAUAUAAAAUGAAAGACAAAGCAAUUGUAGACUGCUUGUAAUCAAGUUAGCCAGACAAUGUAGCCUUCUGUAUUCAAGUUCGAAUUUUUUCCGUCUUAUUGUUUAAAUUAAUUAGAAUAUCAUUUUGUUAAAAAAGAAACACAAAAAAUGAAAAUACUUAUCCCACAAAACAAAUGGAUACAAAUUGAUAAUUGUUUCUGUACAAGCCAGAAAAACUGGCAUAAAAUGCCAAAUACAUUCUUCUGACUGUUAAAUCUCCGCCCUUCCUUCCUUAUCACACCAUCUCUCUCUAUAUCUUUUAUUUCUCCUUCUCUACCUUUUUUUUUCCUCCUUCAUUUCCCCAUUAUCUUCCACUGUGUUCUUCUUCCUCUCCUCGUUAUCCAAAACUCUCGAGCUCCAAACUUUGAGAGAGAAACUGAUAUAGAGAGAGAAAGAAAGAGCAAGCUUUCCUCCAUAUCUUCUUCUUCUUCUUCUUCUUCUGCAUAAUUAUUAUCUUAAUUAUGGCUUUCUACAUGCAUGGCUAUUAAUUGGUGCAGUAAGCUCCUUGUUUUCAACACUUAGAAAAACAAAGUCUUCCACUUUCUUUUCAAAUACUCGGUAAAUGUUCGAAGUCCUACAAACGUUCAAAGUUUUCAGUGUUUUCUUUAAUUAUAUAUUUUCACUUAAUAUUCAAUUUAGCUAUAUAUUUUUGUGCUAACUUUAUGAGUUUAUGGAUUAGUGGAUAAUUAAUUUGUGGUUAGUAUUGCCUUAUGCUUUAAACCUUAUCCUAGUUUUUUCCAAUCUUAUUAACACUGGUUUAAUGAAUUAAUAUAUAUGUUUAGGAGAGUAAUUAAGUAAGUUCAAGUUUAAGCUCAUUCCUUCAAGAGCAAGCUGCAAAAAUGGCGCCCAGAAACAGCCGUGGAAAGGGAAAAGGAGACAAGAAGAAGAAAGAAGAAAAGGGUAUUUAUCAUUAUCUUAUAUUUCUUAUUCAAAUUGCUAAUUUUGGAUUACGUAAGUUAAGCACCGAUUAAGUUAACUAAUUAAUCAUUUGUCCGUUUUUUUUUGCUCUGCAGUUCUUCCUGUUGUUAUGGAUAUCACUGUGAACCUUCCUGAUGAAAGCAGUGUCGUUUUGAAGGUUGUUAGAUUAUAAUUUUUUAAUUUAAAAAAGCUAAAUUCCUAAGUGUUUCUGUCUGUCUUGUUACUUGUACUCUUUGGAAGACAUUGGUUAAGAGCAUAUGUUUAGUUCUUAACUUGUUCAGUGGUUGGAUUUGAAUAUGUACUAACUCCUAAACACUUUCACCUACUUUCCCAUGAUUAAAGUUAGUUUUUUAGGGCUAGAAUGUAAUGACAAAAGUUAUACUAUUUUGUAUGUAUUGACGUUGAAUCUACUAUAUUUACUGAUUACAUACUCUUUAUAAAGAUCGAUUUAUGCAUCAGAAUUUUAUAUAUGUAAAAUAACAGGAUAGUUUUGAACAGGGAAUAUCGACAGAUAAGAUUAUCGAUGUUCGUCAGCUGUUAUCAGUGAACACAGAAACUUGUAACAUUACGAACUUUUCACUAUCUCAUGAGGUAAUUUCCAUUACCCACAUUAUUUCUUUUUUCUUUUUAUCAUUAUUAUUUCAAAGUAUCGAUUUCCCCUUUUGGAUAAGUAUCAAAAAUGGGAUGUAGUUGAAGGAAUUCAAUCCCUUUGCAUUACCAAAUCAAAAGCCAUUACUGUCGUUGCUAAAGGAGAAUAAACGACAAUUGUGACAAAAAAAUAAAAAAAGGAGAAUAAACGACCAUAAUGUUAUUGUCGUUUAUGGCAGGUAAGAGGGCAACGAUUGAAGGACACGGUGGACGUCUCCGCACUGAAGCCGUGCGUUCUGGCGUUGGUCGAAGGUAAUAGUCAAAACGUAUUCCGACGUCGUUUUAUCUCCACUUUUUAUGAUCUUUAUGCCCCGUAGGAAUUGGACACUUGAGGGCCCAUUGGGCCAGAGUGUCCGAACGUCGUCGUAUUAUGCUUCUUCUUCCUCAGUCAAAUUUCUCACUCUCUGUGCUUCUCAGAGGACUACGAUGAACAGCGCGCCACGGCGCACGUUAGACGCGUGCUCGACAUUGUUGCCUGCACGACAAGCUUCGGAGCGUCGUCUUUGCCGGCGAAGGACCAAAGAUCGAAGCUCGAUGCUUCUUCAACUGGCUCCGGCAAAAAUGCUCCGGUUGCGCAGGAUAAGAUCUCCAAGAAAUCCAACGCCACGACCGCCGCCGCCGUCAACGCCUCCAAGUCUCAAGUUCCUACCGGAACCGAUAAGCGAGACGUGGCGGGGGACUCGGAGACCGAGAUGAGCCACUCCUGCCUCAAGCUUGGUUCUUUCUACGACUUCUUCUCUCUCUCCCACCUCACUCCCCCUUUGCAAUGUACUUUCUCUCCUCCCUCCCUCUCUACUACGUGUAUACGUAUGUACGUAUUUAUCUGUGUAUUUGGAAGCAGAAUUUUGAAUUUUUGAAAAAUUGAGUGUAAAUGCUUAUGAAUUUUGCAGUUAUUCGAAGGGCGGCGAAACGGCAAGUCGAUGAGAUUGCGGCGGAUGAUCACAUUUUUUCUCUAGAAGUAAGACCUUCGUCUGCACAAUCCACACGCACCCAAAGACAAUUUAUUUAUCUAUUUUUGGGUCUGAUCAUCGAAAUACAUUGUGUAUAUUGGCAAUUUUUCAGGUGAAGCUUUGCAAUGGGAAGGUGCUUCUUGUUGAAGCUUGCCGAAAGGGGUUUUAUAGCAUAGGGAAGCAGCGGGUUCUCUGUCACAACCUCGUCGAUUUGCUACGGCAGCUUAGUAGAGCCUUCGACAAUGUUAGUAAAGCAUUUGAGUUUCUGUAGUGAUUUGCAUUUAUUCUAUUUCUAACUUUUCAUUUGUGUAUUGAAUAUGUGUAUAUUUAAUUUCUCAUAUUUCAGGCUUAUGAUGAGCUCUUGAAAGCAUUUGCAGAACGGAAUAAGGUAUGGGAUCAUUCAUUAUGCUUUCUUUUAUGAGUCUUUGUGUUAUUAUUUCUGUAUUUUGUAAUUGAUUUUCUUUGAUAUUUUGCAGUUUGGGAACCUUCCUUAUGGGUUUAGAGCAAACACGUGGCUCGUACCCCCUGUUUCAGCGCAGUCACCAUCAGUUUUCCCUGCUCUCCCCGUGGAGGAUGAAACUUGGGGUGGAAAUGGUGGUGGUCUAGGAAGAGAUGGGAAAUUUGAUCUGAUCCCUUGGGCUAAUGAGUUUUGGCAUAUUGCAUCCAUGCCUUGCAAGACAGCCGAGGAGAGGCAGAUUCGUGAUAGGAAAGCAUUCCUUCUUCACAGCCUAUUCGUCGAUGUUUCCAUUUUUAGAGCCAUUAAGGCUGUGCAGCAUGUAAUGGGAAAACCGGAAUUGACUUGUUCAGUUCCAAACAGUGAGAUUCUUUACUCCAAGAGUGUAGGGGACUUGAAUGUCACAGUUAUGAAAGAUGUUUCUAAUGCAAGCUGUAAGGUAGAUACUAAAAUUGAUGGAAUUCAAGCAACUGGAGUGGACGAAGCGAAUCUAGCGCAACGAAACCUUCUGAAAGGGAUCACCGCAGAUGAAAAUACUGCUGCCCACGUAAGUUAUUUCUGAGAUAGUGUUGUUGAUCAAUAAUCUUUGUCUCUACCAAAUGCGAUUUAUUUUGUAACUUUGGUGCGGUUGAGGUCAUUCUUGCUAAAUAUUGUGUGCAGGAUGUCAACACUCUAGGUGUUGUCAAUGUCAGAUACUGUGGUUACAUUGCAGUUGUCAAGGUUGAGGGGAAAGAAAAUAAGAAAGUUGGUUCUCCAUCUCAGAGCAUUGAAUUUGUUGAUCAACCCGAAGGUGGUGCCAAUGCCCUUAAUAUCAACAGGUACGCAAUAAUGUGUCAGUAAGUAUUAUGUAAAGCUACCAACAUGGAGUUUUCAGUGUAAGAGCCCAAUAAUGUGUCAGUGAGUAUUAUGUAAAGCUACCAACCUUUUGUCAUGGAGUUUUGAGUAUAAGAGCCUAACUAGUAUCUUGUUUUUUGCAGUUUAAGAUUACUACUUCACAAGACAAUACCUUCAGAGCAGAAUAAACCGGCAUCACAUAUGCAAACUCUGGAACACGAAGAUCUUUCAGCCUCAUGUGUUUUUGUUGAGGGGGUGUUAGAAGAAAGUCUUGCUAAGCUUGAGAAAGAGGAGCUAGAUUCUGAUAAUUUUGUGAGAUGGGAACUUGGAGCUUGCUGGAUACAACACUUGCAAGACCAAAAAAAUGCAGACAAAGAUAAGAAACCGUCAAACGAGAAGGCUAAAAAUGAGUUGAAGGUUGAGGGACUUGGGACACCUCUUAAAUCUCUUAAGAACAGCAAGAAAAAAUCAGAUGGAGGCAAUACCAAGCUGCAAUCUGAAAGCUCAAAGUCUCAUGUAGAUGGUGUUGUUGCGGAAGUUGAAAAUAGUAUAUCCCCUUCUGUGGAAUCAAAGCUUGAGACUAAUGCCAAAGAAUGAGCUUGUGUUGACAGAGAUAUUGUCUGAUGCUGCCUUUGCUCGACUAAAAGAUUCAGAAACUGGACUUCACUGCAAGGUAAUACAUUAUAGGUGUCACUAGAGGCUUUAGAAUUUAUUUAUUUGUACUACACAUUGUGUACUAAUGUAUUGUGUGCUUGACAGUCUCUGCAAGAACUGAUCGACUUGUCUCAGAAGUAUUACUCUGAAGUUGCUCUUCCCAAACUGGUAAACAUUUUUUUUCUUAAAGCUUGUUAUCUUUUUGCAUGGAAGUAAUGUUUGGUGAUUCUUCUUUCUAUAAAAUAUUCGUAUAAUGCAGGUAGCAGAUUUUGGUUCCUUGGAACUUUCACCGGUUGAUGGUCGGACCUUGACUGAUUUCAUGCAUACUAGAGGUCUUCGGAUGCGCUCUCUGGGGAAUGUUGUAAGUGUGCUUCUAACUUAGGGUUUUCAUUUUUAAUACAUGUCUCAUAUUACUCAUCUACCUAAGAAUCAAUUUCUUUUGUGUCCUCAGUUUUGCUUGGUGUUUAUGUCCCUUCUGAACUUCAUUAACUAUACUCUGUAGUCAGAUUUGUGGUUGUAGUUUGUUUACGUGGCUUUGAUGUAAUAGAAGAAAUAAAAAAGAACAAAAAUCAUGGCAAUUUUCAGAAUAUCUCGAGCUAGCCCUCCCUUUAUUAUGCACUGGUGACCGUUAGACAGUGUUAACCAGUCACGUUAUUAUAAGGCAUCAAAGCUCUAAUCUUCUUUAAGCAUUUCACUAAUAGAAAACAUUAACUUGCAUUGCCUCUCAUCUCCAAACUGAAACUCAUAAGAAAAUUUUGAAAUGCUAUAUGUAGAUGAUAUGUGGAAUGCUGCUUAAAUAGGUUAUCAUAUUGAACGAAAUGACUUUUAUUUCUUUAUAGGUCAAGCUUUCGGAGAAGCUAUCCCAUGUGCAGUCCCUUUGCAUUCAUGAGAUGAUAGUGCGAGCUUUUAAGCACAUACUUCAGGCAGUGAUUGCUGCCGUUGGUAACACUGAGAAAAUGGCUGUUUCAAUUGCUGCUGCAUUAAAUCUUAUGCUGGGGGUUUCUGAUAAUGAAGAAUUAAAUAAGUCUUGCAAUGUUCAUUCUCUUGUGUGGAAAUGGCUGGAGGUAUUCUUGCGAAAGAGAUAUGGAUGGGAUAUUAACAGCUUCAACUAUGACGAUGUGAGGAGAUUUGCGAUUCUACGUGGAUUAUGUCACAAGGUAUAUAUCAUGACACCGCAUAUUAGAUUCUGGAGAUGGCCCACAUUCUUGAAUUCUGACUUCGUAAUUUUACACUGUAUUUUUAAGUUUACACUGACAUUUUGCUUUCUCUUCCCCCUAUCCCCCACCCCCCAAAUUUAGGUGGGUAUUGAGAUGGUUCCAAGGGAUUUUGAUGUGGAUUCUCCAAGUCCGUUCCAAAGUUCAGAUAUUGUCAGCCUAGUCCCAGUGCAUAAGGUGACGACUGGACAUAAAACAUUAGAAGCAUCUGUUUUCCUUUCUUUCGAUUUUUAGAAGGGAUAAGAGUGAUUGCCCAUCUUUAGUAAUUUAACCUUUUCUUUUACUUUUUUCAGCAAGCUGCUUGCUCUUCGGCAGAUGGUAGGCAACUCCUAGAAUCAUCAAAAACAGCUUUAGAUAAGGGAAAACUUGAAGAUGCAGUUGCAUUUGGCACUAAGGUACGCAGACUGGUGCUGGAAGGUUUUCUUUCACCUUUUUAUAUUAAUAUUCUAGUUGGUUACCGGCUGUACUUUGCCAUUUGCAGGCUCUUGCAAAGCUGGUAGCAGUUUGUGGUCCCUACCAUCGAAUGACAGCAGGAGCUUACAGCCUCCUUGCUGUAGUUUUAUAUCACACUGGAGACUUCAAUCAGGUCUGUUCCUAUCCCUUUUGUUUCAGUGUUUCUGGGACAUAUAUAACUGUUACUUUCUGGGUCAAACAGAUUUUAAAUUGGGGGAUCGGCUACAUAUGGUUUCAUAUUUUUAUUGUUGAAGGUGGAACGGAAUGUGCAGAAGUGUGCAAAAUAUAGAAAGUUUGUCUUUCAUUUUGUAAAGGUUUUAUGUCGUGGAUGACCAAUGAUGUGUUCCCAUUACAGGCUACAAUUUAUCAGCAAAAGGCCCUGGAUAUCAACGAGAGAGAAUUAGGGCUUGACCAUCCAGACACCAUGAAGAGUUAUGGGGAUCUUGCUGUGUUCUAUUACAGACUUCAACAUACGGAGCUGGCUCUCAAGUAUGCUUUUUUCUUGUUCAAAAGUGAUCCCGAUGUAUAUAACAUCACAGUUUAUGUGUUUAGGGGAAUAAUUUUCAAAGUGAUGAUGUGAAUGGGUUGCUCUCUCGAUCUUGUGGAUGCAAGCUGCUUGCCAUUUUUGUUUCACAGAUCGAACCUAUGGGGCUAGUUAUGGGGGCAGAUAACCUGCUGUCCCUUUUCUUGUUCAUCGUUGAUGUAUUUCCAUUUAAAGGCAUAGAAACAGGGUGAUAAAUUAGUCAUGAGUCAUAGCUGCAUGCUGCAUAGUCUGUUCAUUCAUUAGUAUACGCGUUAUUUUUUACAUUCCUCACAAGUACAAGCUCACAAUUUCUGCUGUUCAGGUAUGUAAAGCGUGCUCUGUAUCUUUUGCAUCUCACAUGUGGACCAUCUCAUCCAAACACUGCUGCAACAUACAUCAAUGUGGCUAUGAUGGAGGAAGGCCUGGGAAAUGUGCAUGUUGCCCUUCGAUAUCUACACAAAGCCUUGAAGUGUAAUCAAAGGUUACUCGGCCCGGACCAUAUUCAGGUUGUGUAUUCAUUCAUUUAGUUGUUGUUUAAUUUAUUUAUGUCCUAAAGCUUAUAAGCUAUCACAAUAUUCGAGGUCAGAUGCUGCGGUAAUUAAACAGUUAGCGCAAAAAAUGAGGACUCAGUUUUUAACAAGUAAACAACCAGUGAAACUUCAUGUCUUAACACCUUCACAGAUGUACUGCUGGAAAUUUGAUUUAAUAUGGUAAACUGUAAAUUGUUUAUUUUGUAUAUUUGAGAAUUUAACCAUUUUAAUGUUAAAUCUCUCCAGACAGCAGCAAGUUACCACGCUAUUGCAAUUGCUCUCUCUUUGAUGGAAGCUUACCCUUUAAGUGUUCAGCAUGAGCAGACAACUUUGCAAAUUCUACGAGCAAAGCUUGGCCCAGAUGACUUACGGACACAAGUAUACCCUCCUCUUGGUUUAGCCCAUCCUUUCUCUUAAAACUCUUCUACCUCCUCGAGGAUUAACCAUUCAAAAAUGUUUUACCAAACACUGCAGGAUGCUGCUGCUUGGCUUGAGUACUUUGAGUCCAAGGCUUUCGAACAGCAAGAAGCUGCAAGAAAUGGGACUCGAAAGCCUGAUGCAUCUAUUGCCAGCAAAGGCCACUUAAGGUUUGAUAGCAUUGUUAACGUUAAUAUGGAUUGCUGAAGUUAUAAUGUACUUUCUGCUCCUGUUUUUAUGCUUAACCACACGGCUGUAAUUUUCAUUUACCUAUGCACUUGAAUUGUUGAUUUGGAAGUGUAAAAAUGAGGAUUUGAUGGUAAGAGGUGACCCAUUUCCAUGCCUGCAUGCCACUUCGAGAAACUUGCCUUGAUAUUGAAUUUAUUCCUUUUGAAUUUUCCGGUCGGGAGACAAUUACUCUGGCUAAGAUGAAUUAGUGGAUCCUUUACAUGCAUUGCCACUACUGACUUCUUGCCUUAAAUCCUUUCUAAUACCAUAUUGUUCUAAACUUGGCAGUGUAUCAGAUUUGCUUGACUACAUUAGUCCAGCUCAUGGUGCCAAAGGGAGAGAGGUGGCAGGAAAGAGGAAAAGCUACUUAACAAAGGUACGUUUGGAGUUCAGACCCAUUUUCUUUUGUGGUUUUGUUUGCCAUUUCUUUUAUCUUUUUUCCAGUUUCUGUUAUUUCUUCCCUUCUUGAAAAAUAGAGUUUUCGUCGUGGUUAUGGGUUCAACCCAUCCUUAGUUCAUAUGAAAUCUGGGCUCUUAACAAAUGUAAGUAGAAAUAUCCAAAUUGUUGUUGUUGGAAAAUUGGUUACUCUUGGAACUGAUAGAAGCCUUUAUUAAAAUGGAUAAACCCCAACAAAACCUGCUUGCGUGCAAGGUCUUCAUCAUUGGUAACAAGCUGAAGCACACCUACUGGGAAAAAAAAUUAUUAAUUCAACUUUGAACCGAAUAAGAAUUAUCCCGCCCCCAUUUUGACCAUUUUGCGUGAGCUUUCAAGGAACAUUUCUAGUGUUCAGAUAGAGAUACCAUGCCCUGCUAGAAGACACACUUUCUUUACACUCCCUAUUCUCAUUGUCAUGCACAUGAGCAAACUAUUUCAAAUUUUUGUGCAGUUGAAGGAAAAAUCCAUCCAAACUAUCAGUUCAGCUAGUUCUGAUGAGUCUUCAAAAGAAACCACAAAAGAGGGUUCGGACGAAGAGGGUCAGGAGACGAAUGUACUUGAACCAAUUGAUAGAACAGAUGUUAUCCAGGAGAGCAGACCUCCUCUGGUUGAACCUCAGCACGUCGUGGAAGAGAAUGCAGAGGAAAAUUCAAAUGUUUUCGAUCAGAUAUCUUCUGAAACAUAUAUCGAAGGUGGUGAUGAUGGGUGGCAAUCAGUUCAAAGACCUAGAUCAGCUGGCUCAUAUGGGCGGCGUCUAAAGCAGCGGCGGGCAACUAUUGGGAAGGUCUAUAAUUACCAGAAGAAGUAUGUUGAAAGUGACGUGGACUAUUCUUCAGUGAAGAAUAUUAAUCAAAACAGUAGUUAUUAUCUUGUAAAGAAAAGGCCAACAUCUCACGGAAGUUAUGCAGACAAUCAUACUGCAAAACCCUCCCAAGGUACUAAGUUUGGACGGAGAAUAGUUAAAGGUGUAACAUACAGAGUUAAGUCUAUGCCUUCGUCUACCAAAGUAGAUACCGAAGAGCCCUCUAACGGUGGCAAAAUUUUGAGUUCUCCAUCAGAAUCUAUUCAAAACGCUUCACCACAUGGAAUUGGCCCAGUAAAAAAUUCCGUAGUCAGUCUUGGGAAGUCUCCUUCUUACAAGGAAGUAGCAUUGGCUCCACCAGGUACUAUUGGGAAAUUUCAAACCCAGUACAACAUUCCAGAUAAUCAGGAACAUGGUGUCCGAGUUCAUGAGGAAGAAACAACUGAAGUCAAAGGAGAUUCCAAACCAAACACAACUGAGUUAGGAAAUGUACUUGAAGAAAAGGACUCUGUGUUGGACUCUGUAUUGGUUACGACAGACCACAUACCAGACGAAACCGGAGCUGCUGAGAAGAAAGGAGAAGUUAUUUCAAACGAUUCAAAGGAAGAUAAGUCUUCACUGAUGGUAUUAGAGAGUUUGGAUGGACACGGAUCCAGCGGUGUUAAGAUUGAUGAAGUGGUAGAAGAUAACUUGUUGACAGACGGAGUGCCAAAAUCUUUGGGUUCUCCCAAGGGAUGUGAGACGGAUCCAUCUGGUACUUGUGAACUGCAUGACUCCAACUCUACCAUGCAAGGUGUAGACGAUGCUGUGAGUUCAGUUGAUACUCGGGGACUGCCCAGUAAGAAGCUAUCUGCCUCAGCAGCUCCAUUCAAUCCCUCACCACCUGCUGCACGUGCUGCUCCGGUUUCCAUGAACAUUGCAAUACCUUCGGGUGCGGGUAAUGUCCCAACUGUUGCACCUUGGCCAGUAAACAUGAAUCUUCAUCCAGGGCCCGGUACUGUCUUACCCACGGUCAAUCCAAUGUGCUCCUCCCCUCACCACCCAUACCAUUCUCCUCCUGCGACCCCAAACAUCAUACAACCAUUGCCUUUUAUGUACCCUCCUUACAGUCAACCCCAAGUAAUCCGAACCAGUGCCUUUCCCAUUACUAGCAGCGGGUUUCAUCCAAAUCAUUUUGCAUGGCAAAAUGUGAACCCCCAUGUUCCCGAGUUUGUUCAUAGUCCAGUUUGGCCUGGUUGUCAUCCAAUGGAUUUCUCUGCCCCUACACCUGUUGCUGAGCCAAUUUCUGAACCGACAGUGGAGCCAAAAUUUCACAAUGAUGAUUCUGCUCCAGUUCUGCCAGCGGACAUUGACAAUUUGGAGGAAACUAAGCAAGAAGUGAACCUUCUGACGUCAGAGGCAAUGAGCAAUGCAGUUGAAAGUGUAAAGGAAAAUGGUCCUUCAAACCUUUGCAGGGUUGAACUUGCUCAGAGCGAACCAACUGACAACCCAAAUGGAAAUGCUGCAAGUAGCGGUGAACGAACAAACGAUGGAGAGAAAACCUUCAGCAUUUUGUUGAGGGGUAGGAGAAACAGAAAGCAGACUCUGCGAAUGCCAAUCAGUUUGCUCAGUCGACCGUAUGGCUCACAGUCCUUCAAAGUCAUAUGUAACAGAGUAGUCAGAGGGAAUGAUGCUACCAAAGCCACCAGCUUUUCAUCAAGUGAAAAUUGCACAGCUACUGCUACUUAACGCCAAUUUGCUUUUGCUACCGAUCAGGGCAGCCGGAUUUUCUAGAAAAAAGCUGGAUUCCUGACAAGAAUCACUUGAUCUUUUGUGGCUCUUUUGUUAACAAAGCACGUUAGUUUCUGCUUACACAUGGUCCUCAAAAAAUGAAUUCAGGUUAGUGGUCUGGCUAUACAAUCUUCUAACAAUUUAUAGUUCUUUCUUCGUGAAAUAUGCAUAUAUAGAUACGACCCUUUAAUAAAAAUAGAACUUGGGAAACACUAAAAUGGACGAUAUGCCGUAUAUAUAACAUGGUUUAGUGCCUCUUUAUUGUCUAUCGAGUGUGCUUCCAGUUCUAUUUUUUGGUUAAAAGUUCAUAACCGGUUCCAUUUGUUCGUAUUUCCUUUUCGUCUUCUGUCUUGUUAGUAUUUUGUAGGCAAGGUAAGCUUGUCUUCUCACUGAACGUAUACAUUUGUGCAACUGUGGAUGUGCAGGUUUGCAGUAGGAAGCUUAUGUUUUGCGACUUGUGUGGGAAGGGUUUUUAUGGGGUGACAAUUUUGGUUCAUCACAUAUGAGAAAUUUUGUUAUUUUUGGAUUAUCGGACCACAGCAUUCAGAAUCAAAACUGAUACCAGUUCUUAUUUUGGCUACAAUAAAUGGGAUUUUGAUUUUUAAUUUGGAUAAAUUGUAUAUGACCUAAUUAUGAUUUCUUUUUCUUCAUUUCCUUAUCUAAUUUUAGAUGAGUAUUAACUUUAUUAACAUGGGAUAUUUUGUUGUUUUUACAAUAAUGUAGUGAAACCACCGUCAAAGUUCAGAUUUUUUUAUUUUAUUUCAUUUUAUUUUUUAAUAUAAUUUUUUCACCAUGCCUUGUUUGAUUCAAUUCAGGUAACAAAUCUUUUCUCUGGAAAGAUUGAUGUUAUUGUUUGUGUCAUCUUUUCGGUUCAAAGUUUUUUAUAAUUCGGGUUUAAACACUAAAAAAUAAUCUAAAUUUUAAAUCUAAAUAUUUUUAUAAAUACGGGUACAUUAAACUCUCUUCAAAGUGAGCUUAUCAGAAGCUCAUUUUAUACUAGGUCUAAUCGGAUAAAUGGGAUUUUGGUUUGACGUGUGCACCUUCUUCCUCGUCUACGUGUGUUUCCAAGCACCACCAUUGAACAACCAAUCAGCUCUGAAAACCCAUUUCGUCUUCCUCCCAACUCAAUCCGCCUCCGGCACUGCUUCGUCAUAGAGAGUGCCUAUAACUGGCUAUGGGAUUUAGCAGUGAAGGAGUUGAAUAUGUAGACGAAUUAUUUGACGAAAGUCCCAACUAGAUUUUAGUCACCGGACCAUACGCUAAGCGAAUCAAAUCCUUCUUGGCAAGAUCUUGAAUGAGAAGAUAACCCAUUAUUUUGAUGGCAUUUUCUGGGUAUAACGAUUUGAUCUCCGACAAGAGUUUCAUAGGGUUCCAUGGCAUUUUUUCUCUCAAAAGGAAAAGGAGUGAGAAAAUUGGUUUUAGAGUAGGGUUUGAAGUGUUUCAGUAGAGAGCGUAAAGUCUCUCUGUUUUUAUGUCUUUUUUUUUUGUGUCGAAUAUAUAUUAAUUUUUUAUGGGAGUGGGAGGAGUGUCGGAGGCAGAUUGAGCUGGGAGGAAGACGUCGGUGGGGUUCUCAGAGCUUAUUGGUUGUGAACCGCAUGGACAGGAAGAAGAAGGUGCACAUGUCAAAGUAUUUUUUUACCCUCUAUUUAAAGGACAAUUAACGAAAAAAUAACUUUUAGAUUAAGUUUGCCAACGGACUAAACCACGGAGCUAUCUUCCGAUCAACCUAGUACCACGAGCCCCUAAAAUGAUGAAACAUUCAAAAUCCCAAAAGAGUCAAUUAUCACACGUGUGCGCGUGUGGCAAGAUGCUAGUAUCUAUGAAAAGUAAAGCUAUCUGACUGUAUCCUAUUAAAUUAGUUUACUCCAACACCUCAAAUCAAAAUACAAUAAAACUAUAAGGUAUGAUAGGAAUCAUCAAUACUUUGAUGCAAAAUAUCAAAGCCAUUUCAUUAUAUAGCCACAUUUCAUACCUUUUUUUUUUUUAUGUUUGAGUGACUUCUUUCUCAUGUAAUUCCCAUGAGAGAUAUUUUUAAGUGUACAAAAAUAAAACUGGUAUCUAAUUACACUAACACAAAAUUCCCUCAAGUUUGAGAAAUUAAAUGAACGCUUAUUGAAAUUUAAUUCAUGUUCACAUCAUUCCUUAAAGAUGAGUUUACGCUUAUAAUAAAGUACUUAAAAAAAUAAAAAAUCCUUUAUAAAUAAAUAUAAAAUUUACCAAACGUAGGAAAUGUAACAUUUCCAAUUCCCAAACCUAGUUCCCGCAGGUUGCACCUUAGCUAGGACCUCAAACUUAUAAGCCAAUAAUUACAUCACAUUAAUCGCUUAUGUUAUGGCUUAGAGUUUAGGUCGCAAAGUCAAACGCCCAAUAUUGCCCUUCUCAUAUUGAUGUUUUCAUGGAUACCAAUGUGAAUCAGAUCAUAAUAUUAGGUAGAUGUGAUAAAAAAAGUAUAUCGUUCUUAUUCUAGCGCAACAAUAUACUCUACAGAUGUUAGAGGAGAUGAUCGCACAUUGGUCAUAUGAUAAAAUAAUAUUCAGUUAAUAUAUGAGAGGCGUUUCCACCUCUAAUAUCAUUGAAACUUUUUACGAUAAAACCCAACAGCUAGUAACAUGUGGUUAAGUUAGAAUAAUAUUGAUGAUAUUGAUGGUGGAUCAUGCUAAAAAACACUUCCAACUUUUCUCUUAGCUUUUACCAUGCACCUCAAUUGUACGUACAUAUUAUACAUGUAUUUGUCAUUCAUAUAUAUCAAAAAAUACGCGUAGCUAUUUCAUACAAUUUUUUUUUUUGCAUUCUGUAUUUUACUCACUGUGAUAUCAUGCAUUACAAAAGACGAAGAAAAGAAAAGGAAGAAAAACGAGAGAGAAACCUCUUAGAGAACUUGAAUCUUUCUUGCUGCCUAUUGGAUUGGAUUCAUUUGGAAGUUUGGAGUAAUAUCAUCCUUCUCUGUUCUUCUCAUCCUUGCCAAUACUUCUAACAGAAUUACUGAGACAAGAAUUACGCCGAGAAGAAAUCCGUAACCAAUCUUCCAGUCAUUUCCUUCACCUCCAAUCUUGAUCCCCAGAACUAUGUUCACAGCUGCAAAGAAGACUGCAAACCUGCCAAGCCAGUGGUGGUACCAAUUCCAGUACUUUCUAAUGUUCUUGGCAUCCUUGUUGGGUCUUAGAAAAAAUGCCAAUAUCUGAAAAUUACCUCUAAUCAGAAACUCAGAAAUAUCAAAUUACAAUUCCUUUGUGGAACAUGAUAUAUUUUUAACGCGUAAUGAAUUGAUUGUAGUGCUACUUAGAUACACAAACUUGAUACAUUUGUUGACAGAUUCUCUAAAAUAUAUGGGUCUCACGUGGAACAGUAUUUUUUUUGGGUCAAUUCACGUGUAAUGAUAGGACCCGCCUCUGUAGGAGAAUGUGUCAACAUGUGUACUAGUUUUGUGCGUCUGAAUCGUAUUAUUGUAAUAGAUUUAGUGGUGAGGGACAAACCUGAAGGAUGCUAAGUACAAGAACAAAAAUUCCUAUGCCUCUAUGCGUUGGAAAGUUGGCUCCUAUUUUAGUAUAGAGUUGCUGGCCAAGUACCACAGCUGCAAGCCCAAUCACAAAUCCAACAAAUUGAAUAAUUGAAUGGAGAUAGUACCACAAAGGUUCCUUGUGCUUCAAGUAUCUUGGCACAAUUGCCCCAAUAGGAAUUAUUAGACCCCAUCCAAAUAUAGCCAAUAUUCCAUGGUUCUUCUUCAUUUGCCCAAUAUCACUAGGUGCCUCUCGCACAGAUGCGGAGCCUGCAGAGAAAUCGAACAUGACGGUUGUUUUAUCGUUGUGUUUGGUUAGGUGGUGGUGCUUGGGGUAACCGCUUCCGAUAGCCAAGAUGAUUGGCUGACGAGCAAGACGAGCUUGGAAUUUCAUCUGAAAAGCCAAGUAAAUUCUAGGUCCAUGAAGCACAACAGAAGCAGGAAUGCCAGUGAGUGGCAAUUCACCUUUGUCUGGGAUGACUAGUGACACCUUGGAGCCUUGCAAAUAGUAUUGCUUAAUUCUUGCUUCGCCUUUUCUGUUAAUCCAUCCCACUAUUGCACUUGAACCAACCAUCAUUCCAUCUUUGGAAAAUCCUAUUCCUACCCAUCCUGUAGUGUAUACAGCGGAUAAUAUAAUGUUCACGACGUGAUCUUCUGUCUGAGAGUACUGCAACAACCAAAAAAAUGAAAGAAAUAGCUAGCUAAAUUUAAUUAUACGUUUGCAAAUAUAGUUUAGAAACGUAUAAUGAUUUCCGCACAAGUCUUUUCUUCCCGUGCACCUUUGUUUAUUCUAACAUUCGAAUUGAAUAAAUUAAAUAAGAAUUGAAGGACAAAAAUGAACAGGAGUGUGCAGAAAGAGAGCAGGCGUGCAUAAAUUAUUUCUCUAUAGAACCAACUUAACAAUGAAAUCAAGAUUGAGUACAAACUUACUCUCAAAACAAAAGUGUUCCAAAUAGGUCUGCAGACUAGAUCAGAUGAUGAAUUACUAUAUGGUGGUAGCAUAAAACUGCUCAGAUCAUUGUCACAAGGCUCCGAUGCAUCAUUGCCCCCACCAGCGCUAUUAACCCCCGGAACAUAACUGCCAUCAGCAGCCAUAACAUCAAACUUGGCCUCCAAGACAAGGGUCAGAAUACAUAGCCUGAAAGCAAACCUCGAAGCAAAAACCGACCAAGACCCCAAGCUCGCCAUUGGAAAGAUCAAGAACUAGGAAUGCGAUCCAAGGCUAGAACAGGCAGUGACAAUACCAUGGACGAUGUAAGUUGUGAAAGAGAAGGCGCAUUCAGGAGGUUGGUAGGUUUUAGUCUCUUGGGUUUGAAGGAAAAUGGAAAGUGGUUGGUGGUGGUGGGGAUGCUGGUUGGUGUUGGCAGAUGUUUACAGUGGUUUAAUUCUAACCAAAUUUUUAGGACAUUAUCUCUUAGUAAUAACCAUUUCUUCCAAUUCUUGCAAACUAAACAACCCCCACCACCACCCCCACACUCACACACGCAAUAAUAUUUUGUUGGGUUGGACUUCAUUAUAUUGCAAAUAGUAUGUCAUUAUAUUGCAAGUAGCAUGUCAUUAAAUUGCAAAUAGUAUGUAAGUAUAUUGCAUAUAGUAUGUCAAGCCACUAGUAGUGAGGUUGGGAAGGGUGAUGGACGGAGGAGUAUACUAAGUUCAGGACUCUCGGAACCCUCUAAUGUAACAAAAAAAAGUACCAUUUUGUUUACGGUAAAUGGGGGUAAGUGUCUUCGCCCAUGAACGGUAGGUCUGGGGUUCGAGACUUGGGAGCAGCCUCUCCAUAAAUGGGGGUAAGGCUAGCCGACAUUCACCUCUCCCAGACCCUGCGUAAAGCGGGAGCCUUGUGCACUGGGUACAACGACCUUUUUUGUUUACGGUAGAAGUUAUAACAAGCAACGAGAGAGGGCGGAAUAGUGGGUUAAAAUUAGGAUGAUCAAAUAUUCGAUUGCCUCCCAUGUAAUUAAAAAAUACAAUUUUAUUACUUGGAUGUUAGACAAAAACAUAUAUGAGAAUUUGUAAACUAUAUAUGAUGGUUGGAUAUGAAUGAGAUGAAACUUUGAAGUCGACUUCUUGUGUAUUACAAGAUACCAUAAUUAAGGGCCUAUAAUUGCAUUCAAAAGCUUCUCACGCCCUAAACCAAAUAUAAUAGGCACAACUACACCAUAAGUGCAAAACGGGUAAAGAAGUUCACUUGAUGUACAAUGAUUAUUGAUGAGCUUUUAAGCAAUGCAAAGAAUUAGAUGCUUCAUACAAAAAGUAGAGUCAACAACUUGAUCGCUAGAUCUAUUGGGCUGUUUUUUGCUACAUGAUGACAAAUAAUAGUUACUUUUUCGUAGUCAGGUAGCGGCCCUCUAACCGAUUAUAUAUCCUUUGUUAUCUCUUUUAAUACGUGAAAAAGAUAUAGAACCGAGAUGACUAAGAUUCUCCCAUAAAUUUCAGGCAGCUUUCAAAUGCAAAGUUCCUUGCUAGAACCUGCACACCGAGGCAACAAUUGAGGGGGUGCCCCCCAGUAUCGGCCAUGAACGAACACAUCCAAAGUCUCCACCCUGCUCAUUCAUGAUGGGACGCUAUCAAGGACAGGCCUCUAAGGCCCACUGGGGGCAGCUGCCUACAUUGAAGUUUUGUGUAGAGGAAAAACAAUCACGAAACUUACAGAACUUAAAUUUAUCAUAUUUAAGUACUUUAAGUGAUUAGUUGAAAUUUUAAAUAAUAUGUACAAAAUGCUAUUAUUGUGAAAAAAAUGUCUACAAGUUGGCUUAAUGAAAUUUGAGAAGGAAAAGAAAAGCAAUGAAAUUAUAGAAGAAACUCUACUAUCAUGAUUUUUUUUUCCCUCAAGUAUAACUAGAGGUUAAGGUCGCCCCACCUAAAGAAAGUUUUUAACUGCAUCCUUAGAUACAGUGACAUUUUUAACCUUGAUAUCACUGAUCACUGCACAGAUUUGUUUGGAGAGUUAUAAAUUAAAAAGAUAUUCUCAUCAUUCUUCUCCCCUUUGCAAGUUUGAUAGCGAAAGAAAACAUGAAAAGUGAUUUAGCCGUUAGCCAGGCACCCUAAAGAUAUGGUCCUCACCACUCUUCUCAUCAACCUUGACAACCCAUUUACUCUUACCACUCCCCUUACUUCCUCCACGCCAAUAUCCCUUGCCAACCUCAGUGUUCUUCCCAAUCACGGUGACCUCCAUUCCUUUCCCGAUGGAAUUCUUCGUAGACCUCACCGGAGCCCUCUUUUCCAUCACUCCCAAUGCCCUUCCAACCCCUUUCUUUCACCAACCAAGUUAUUAGCCACAACCACUGAUUUUCUAGGGUUAACAUCUAGCAACUUCAGCAGCCUUGUGUAAUCAUCAUUCUUGCAAUCAACCACAGAGAAAUCAAUGUUCUUGUAAUUCGACAACAGCUCAGAAGGGUCACUGGUCUUGAACUCCACCAAGUCUUUAAGGCCUAAGUCUCUGAUUACUUUCUUUGAUUCAUUGAGGACUGGCUCGGGAAGAAUGCAAACCAGUUUUCCUCCUGUGUGUUUUGCAGCAACUGCUAAGGCUAUCGUUGAUGGCGAAACUGUCGAGGUCACCUCCACUAUGAGUUUGGCUUUCAUGCCGGCAGCCAAAGCUGAAACAAAUUCAUUGCUGCCUGGCUCUUGUGUUUUCCAUGAGACACAUUGUCUCCCACGGUCAUUGCACUGCAGAAAUGAAUACGAAUUGGAGUUAGCACAUUGGAAACAUUGUCUUACAUCCUUCUUUAAGCCCUUGAACAACACAAGAAAAAGGUACAAAAUUGAAAAAUGAGGGCAGUAUAUAUGAAAAUUGUUGUUUUAUUUGACUUCGCCACAUGUUGCAUGUCAAACUAUCACCCUAGACAAUUGAUGAAGUAACCCUUUAGCAGUAUGAGAAUUUAACAUGCAAAAUAUAUCGUUUUACUAAAAGAAGUCAAACUAUCAAUGUAGACAAUUGAUGAAGUAACAUUUGAGCAGAGAAUUUAACAUGCAAAAUAUAUCGCUUUACUGAAAGAAAAGAAAAAAUGUCAAACAUCUCACACGAUUUUAAGUCCCAUUUCUGUCAUGAUAUUUAAAGGCAAUAAAACCCUAAGAAACACAAAUGUUUUUUCAUAGUUACGCCCACUUCCGAAAACUAUGAACUAAGAAACCCAAAGGACCAGUUGAAUCAAUAAUUGAUUCCAACUCUUAAACAAAUUGGAGGAAAACACAACAGAGAAAUUUACAAAGAAAGAAAGAAAGAGGGAACAAGAAAAGUACAUACCAGUUUUAGGGUAUCAAAAUAAGCUUUUGUAGCAGAUUCUGCAGACCAUUCCAUCACCCUCAUAGCCCCCAUGAUCUGAUUAUUAUAACUUGGUCCAGGACAAGAAUUAAAUCGUUUAUCGUAGCCCUGGAUUUGUGUGUUCUACGGUUGAUGUAUAUACUCAAGGCCCUUUAUGCAAAGGGAUUCUCAUUUUUUGAAAAAAAUUGGGAUUAGGUGUGGCGCCCACUCCAUAUCGAAUUUCAACAAUCCGAACCGUUUAUUUUGUUAGUCUCGAUUCAUAGAUCAUUCUUGCAAAAAUUCAAUUCAAUCCGAAACCAUUUGCCUAUUUAAUUAUCAAGAUCAAUUUUGUUUUUUUUAUAUAUAUAUAACAAAAUAUUCGUUUAUUUCUUUGAAUCCAAUUAUAUGUCUUAAAUAUUUCCGAUUUGGCUAAUAUGUUGCAAGGAUGAUCUAUAAAGUCUACUUGAAAAAUAGACGGUUCGGAUCGUUAAAGUUCGAUGUAGUAUGGAACCCACAACUAAUUCCCAUUUUUAUAUAAAAAAAUAAAGAUCCCUUCCCUUAAAGACUUUAUGUAUAUACUUGUCUUUUCUUUUGUUUGUUUGGUUUUUGUUUUGUUGGUGACGAUAUGCGGGAAAUCAUUUGCCUAUAAUUGGGAAACUCAUGGUUUGAUUCUUAUUUGGGUACACACUAAAAACUUCUUGUGAACUUACUCGGAUCAAUAUGUUUAAUUAUUGUGUAGAAACCUUCCAACGGUGGAGGUAAUGAAGUAGAGCAAAGUCUCAUUUUCAUUUUUUGUAUUAAUCAACAAUGUCGUUUAUGAGAUUUGAUUCACGACCUUUACAAAUCACAUUAGUAUGGGCUUCUUUUUUUUUAAAAAAAAAAAAAUGAAUGAGUUAUAUAAUAUCAUUGAAAUGAAACAAUUACAAAAUAACUUGUAAAUGUUGUGAACUAAAUUACAUAUGAAAUUGGGUGUGAGAGAGAGGGGACGAUAGGAAGAGAGAAAGGCUCAGGUGUAUAAGAAUUUUAUAUUCACCUCCAAACCUUGUAUCCUUAUUUAUAUUAAUCAUGAUGGGCUUACUUACCUUACAUGAAAUACAAAGCGUAUGAGGAUUUGAUCUCCAAAUCCUAUUGGGAUUCUACUUUAAGUUUACAUAAUCACAUUCUUAAUUAAUAAUAUUAUUUACAACACCCUUCCUUGAGUGUGUACAACUUAAGAAGUAGUUGCAUUAAGUUUUCAUGAAUAACAUGGGUACGACCAACCCAAAGUAGGUGCCUUGUCAAAACCUCAUCUGGAUAGCAAAAACCUAGUAGAAAAAAUGCUCAUGUUUGUAGGGGAAAAAGUGCAAUAAGGUCAUGUGAAUAUGCUUUAGGAACUCCCCCUAAGUUUAAUAAAACUCCCCAAGAGAGUACCAGUGAUGCAAAUCUAAAAGCUUAUGCAAUCCAACUCCUUGAACAAGUUUAUGAAAAGUAGACUUUGACAGCGACUUCAUGAAUAAGUCAACAAGGUUGUCCUGGGAUCAUAUUUUCUUGACUUCGAUCUUCUGAUGCUCUCGUUGUUAAUGAGUGAAGAAAAACUUCAAGGUAAUAUGCUUGAUAUUGUCGCCUUUGAUGUGUCCUUUCUUUAACUUGUCGAUACAUGCAACGUUGUCUUCAUGAAUUGUUGUAGGAACAUCAACGAUGGAAGAAAAACCACAUGAGGUUCUUAGGUGAUUAAUCACACCCCUCAACCAGAAGCAUUCAUGCGGUGCUUCAUGUAGGGUGGGAACCUCAACGUGAUUUGAAAACGUAGCAACCAACUAUUGUUUGGUUGAUCUCUAAGAUACUGCAGUAUAUCCAAUGCUACAGACAUAACUCGUUUGAGGAUGAGCCUUGUGCGGGUCGGAUAAAUAACCAACGUUAAUAUAUCCAACAAGGCGGAUAUUAUUCCGAGGACCAAGAGGGUUGGAUCCGCUCGGUGAUGUGUAUGGACAGAAUAAGUUUAUAUCCAUUGUACCCUUAGGGUGCGUUUGUUGCACGAGACUAUUUUGGACUGGAUUGGCUUGGCUUGGACUAAGCAGGAUAAAAACAGUGAAGUGUUUGGUGCAGUACCGGACUAAAUCACGGACUAAAUUAUUAUUGGAAUUCAAAUAUUUUUUUUUGUCAAUUUUUAAUUUAUCUUGUUGAUAUUUUAUUAUCAUCAUUCUAUGCUUUUUUAUUUGGCUCACUCUCUCUCCCGUCUCUCUGCCCUUCUUUUCUUUUCAUCCCCGUCUACUUCGCACCGCCCAGAACUUUUCUUCUUCUUUUCAUUUCAUUUCCUAUCAACAAUUUAGGAAAUUAUGAAUAUGUACUUCAACCCAUAAUCCAAAUAUUGUACCCAAUUUCUCCAAUAUCAGUUACAAUGAAAAAUUCAAAUCAAACCCAGAAAAAUUCCAAAUUGUUUUUUUUUUCCAUUUGUGGAGACUUCGUCUGAUUAUGCAGAUGAUUUGUCAGAAUUUUCAGAUGCUUCGUCGGAUUGCCGGUUGUACAAAGGCCUCCGCUGAAAUUGUGUACAGGACACUAUUAUUGGGAUUGUUGAUAUUGUUUUGAGAUUUAGGUGUUGCAUUUGGGUUUCUGCAUCUAGGCAUGGUUGGUGGAAGAGGUCAAGGAGGAAGGAGCCCAAUUGGAGGGCGCGACCGAUGAGCUUGGUCUGAGCGGAGGUGAAUCAGACGAUGGAGCUCGUGAGUUCUCUGAUUUGAAAUUCGAAUCGAGGUCUUUGUUCAUGAUUCAGGGUUGGGGACGAGGAGAGGGAGAGAACGCGAGCAGAGAGGAGAGUAGAGGACGCGAGCAGAGAGCGAUCGAAGGGAUUAGCUAGUCCCAUGGUUCACGACGUCUCUCGCUAAGACCGUCUAGCAUGGUCUUUAGUGGAGGCGAGUCCGGCUUACUCCCACUAAAGCUAGUCCCGUGAAGUAACAAACAUGGGACUGGACUAACUAUUAAUCUAGUCCAGUCCAAUGAGGGCUAGUGAAGGGAAACAAACACCCCCUUAAGGUAACGCAUGAUGUCAUUAACACCUAUCCAGUGUUGUGUGUAGGCGCAUUAUUAUAUCUUGCCAAAAGAUUCAUAGCGAAUGAGAUUUCUAGUCUAGUGCAUUAAGCCAAGUACAAUAAACCUUCGAUUGCACUUAAGUAUGAAACUUUAGGUUCCAAGACCCUUUCAUCCUCAUUUUUAGGACGAAACCAUUCUCAUUUUGCAUCUAGAGUCACAAGUCCUUUUUGGUGUAGUUCAAUUGGUGGACUUGAAUACCAUGUGAACAAUGCUCUAUCUCCAGACCAAUACGGCGUUGAGUUUUCCCAAGAUCUUUCAUCUCAAAUUCCCAUUUUAGGCGCGGAACAGGUUUCUCCCUUGAGCAGUGUUGGAGUUGAAGCAGGUUAAGGUUCCAUCAUAAAAUCAAUUGACAAUAUGAAAAGGAGCCCUUAUAAGCACAUGCAAGAGAUUCAUACUCUCAAUACACUUGCUCACAUGUGGUGAAUUUUUAAGCAUAACACAUGAACAACACAAAUUAAGUGGCAUGGAGAAACGUGUAAACCAUGCAAGAAGGUAAAGUUCCACCAUAACUAAUUGACAAUUUGGAGAGUAACACAACUUCUUAUAAACAAAAUAUUUAUACUCUCGACAGAGCCUCUCGAGCAAUGCUCGAAUUCCUCUUGAGACCCCUCCUAUAUUGCGUGAACUCCCCUUCAAACCCCUUCAUGCAAUUGAAUCUAAAAGUAGAAAAAAGAAACAGUAAAAGCAUUUUACAUGAGUGUUGAUAUUCGCAUUUCAAAAAUUCACGAUGCUUCAUGAAACUCCCUAAGUGUACCUUUAAUUCUCUUUUUUUCACUCCUCAUGGUAAUUAAUGAAAAAAGAAUUAGUAACUAAUCAUGAAUAAAAAGAAUUACUACCAUCCUAAUUACUAAAUUCUAACUCCUAACUCCUAACAAAGAAAUUAUUCACCUCUCCUCUUUCUCUUUCUUCCUACUUAGACCAAGCAACUGCUUCAAUCUCAAACUGGGCACUUCUGUACAACUCUAGCCUCUUUGCAAGCAAUGUACGCCUCUGCAUUACCGCCGGAUCCUCGUCUAGCAACUUAGCCAACUGUCUUGUCUGCAACGAAAAUUAAAUGGUUUCGAAAAUCUUAUUAGUAUAAUUCUAAUUCAACUGAGCUUGGUUUCUUUGUUCUUGUCAAAUCUUUUCGUAAAUUUCACUCUUGUAGGGAACAAUCCUCACCUCCUUUGCACCCAACUCUGCGAAGAAAUGAUCGAGCAAGCAGCGUUUGGCCUCUCGUACUUGACAGUAGAUGAUGGACUUUGGAAUAGCAAUCCUUAAACUCGAACAAACCAUGUUGACAUAGCUUAACACAUUGUGUCCUGUUUGUUUCAAACACAAAAAAACCGUGAUCAUCAAUUCAACCACAUAACCUGAUAAAUCUAAUGACGAAGUGAUGGUAGAAUGAAAUGGUUGUCAAACGGGCCAUGAAUAUGUAUCAUUUUAAAAUUGUGUCUCCUAGUUCUUGUUAAGUGAUUCAAAUCUUGGAUAUGAUUAUAGAGGUAUUUAGAGUUAGAGAGCAACUCACCAACCCGCAGGAGGUAUGCAUCAUUGUAUCUAUCGAAGAGUGAGUGUGUCGGAUUUCCACCCUUGUCAAUAUCUUGAGGAAGCUUGCGGAAAAAGUCAACUGUUAGGUAACCACAUUCCAUAUCUACUAGCUGUAGAGUUGCUCUCUUGCUUUCUUCUUUCAUCCUUUCCAGCGACUCAAAUGCUGCAUUCGCAACUUCUACUCUUAAAGUGGGAUACUGCUUUAGUUCCUACAUAACAAAGAAGAACCAUAAAUUAAGAGAAAAGAUUAGUCAUGUUUAGGGACAAAUAAGGAAUGAUAAGCAAUGUUGACAAAAUGUCCUAGAUUCCUAAUUUACAGACAGAAUUCAUGAAUGCAAGGUAAUAAACUUACCGUAGUCUCGUUGAUAGAUUUUUGAGCCAGAUCCUUCAAUAUGCCAUGAACCUGAAAUCAUGAAGAAAGACAAUUAAGCAAAAUGAUUCGAAGCACUGACACAUUAUACAGGUUUGUAAUGGAAAAAAUGAUGCUAGCACCAGCACUGGAAUUAACAGUUGGAGAAUUAAAACAAACGAAAGAUAGUUAUUGAUUUUCAAGGAUUGUUUAUAUCUUUCAUGAAUGCAUUACAAUUGUUUAGCCGUAUAUAAAGAGAUGAACUCUCCUUGAGUUAUGCCACAACCGGUGGACUCCUAAGAAAAGAGAACAAAUGAUUAGAGACACACUUGAGUGGUUGCUUUACCCCUAACCCUACACACUUGAGUAGAUGCUUUAACCCUACUUAAAGAGAACAAAUGAUUAACCACUUAGGAGACACACUUGAGUGGUUGCUUUACCCCUAACCCUACACACUUGAGUAGAUGCUUUAACCCUACUUCCAAUACUCCCCCUCAAGCUGGAUCCAGAAGAUUUAUGGAUCCAAGCUUGGAAAAAAGUUGUUGAAACUAGUGAGAGGCCAAGGGUUUGGUGAAAAUGUCGGCCAAUUGAUCACAUCUUCUGGUAUAAUGGGUCUGAAUCACUUUUGACUGGACUUGUUCCCGAACAUAAUGACAGUCAACUUCAAUAUGUUUCGUCCUCUCGUGAAACACUGGGUUUGAUGUUAUAUGCAUUGCUGCCUGAUUGUCACAAAAUAAAGACAUGGGGAGAGUUGUAAACACUCAUAAGUCGCUCAAAAGACCCUUUAGCCAUAUCAGCUCACACGCAGUGGAGGCCAUUGCACGAUACUCGGCUUCAGCACUUGAGCGUGCGAUGACAUUUUGUUUUUUGCUCUUCCAUGUGACCAAAUUUCCACCAACAAAUGUACAGUAACCUAUUGUGGACUUACGAUCAAUUGCGUUUCCCGCCCAAUCAACGUCGCAAUAUCCCAUGAGUUGUGUGUUUUCAUUCUUCUUCAUGAUAAUGCCACGACCCACAUACCCUUUUAAGUAGCGUAAUAUCCGCUUAACAAGGUUCAAAUGCUCAAUUGUGGGAGAGUGCAUGAAUUGGCUUACAACACUUACGGAAUAUGUGAUGUCAGGUCUGGUGAUUGUUAGGUAGAUCAGCUUACCAACAAGCCUCUGAUAAUGGCGUAUAUUAGUGAGUGGCGUGCCCUCCAAGCUAGGUUUGAGCUUGCUAUCCAGAGAAGUAAUUGCAGGUUUGGCAUCUCUCAUGUUAACUUCCUUGAGCAAAUCCAGGAUAUACUUUCUUUGAUUUAGAAAUAGUCCCUUGUGAGAAGUUGUCAUCUCUAUGCCAAGGAAAUACUUCAAUACCCCAAGGUCUUUAAUUGCAAACCUUUGUCUGAGUGACUGUUUGAGUUUGAAGAUCUCUUCAGCAUUAUCUCAUGCAAUUAUUAAGUCAUCGACAUAGAUCAACACAACCAAUUUGCCCACAACUCCAAUGCGAACAAAUAAUGAGGAAUCGACAUUGCUUCUUUUGAAACCAACACUUGUGAGAACUGAGCUUAGCUUGCCAUACCAAGCUCGGGGGGAUUGUUUCAAUCCAUAAAUUGAUUUAUGCAAUUUGCACACUAAAUCAUGCUCAUUGCUUUGAGGGUGCCCUGGUGGCAAUUUCAUAUAGACUUCUUCUUCGAGAUCACCAUGUAAGAAUGCAUUCUUCACGUCCAUUUGGUACAUGGAUCAUCCCUUAUUGACAGCCACAGACAAUAGAACCCUAAUUAAGUUCAUUUUCGCAACAGGGCAAACGUUUCUUUGUAAUCUACAUCGAAAGUUUGAGUGAAUCCCCUAGCCACUAACCUUGCUUUAUGUCUCUCAAUUGAGCCAUCUGAAUUGAAUUUGAUCUUAUAAAUCCAUUUAAAACCCACAACCCUUUUUCCUUUUGGAAGUGUGGUUAUACUCCACGUUUUGUGUUGAUCUAGAGCUUUAAGUUUUUCUUGCAUUGCUUCUUUCCACACUUCUUUGUUGUUAGCCUCAUGGAAAUUCUGAGGCUCACUACAACUUGCAAUGUUACUUAGGAAUGCAGCAUGGGAGUGAGUCACCUUUUGGUAGGACACAUAAUUGGAGAUUGGAUGUUUGGGUUUGUAGGUGACGAAGUCUUGAAACCUUAGGGGAGGUUGUCUUGCACGCAUUGGAUUGCAUCGUGGGGCUGUUGUGUGAUUUGUCUCACACUCGUUCACAUCUUGAGCCACACUGUGAGGAUCAUCUUGAUUGUCACCAUCUUCAUGUGUUGUACCAUCAGAGUGAGGGCCUUCAUUGCCACUUUCAGUGAGGGAUGCCUCAGUGUUGACAUGGCUAAGAACUCUAUUUGUUGAAGCAUCAAGGUCGAUUCUUGGUAGAGGAAACACCUCCAACAUACACUCUCCUUGACUUGUUGUUUCAAGUGACUUGCUGUAAAAAGGGUCAGUCUCAUGGAAUCGAACAUCUUUAGACACAAUCAAUUUCCUCAAUUGGGUAUUAUAACACUUAUAUCCCUUUUAUGUAGAAGAAUAGCCAAGGAAAAUGCAUUUAACAGCUCGAGGGUUCAAUUUACCUUGAUGAUGAGGUUGAAUAUGUACAAAGCAAAUACAGCCAAAGACUCUAAGGUGUGAAAGAUCAAUUUUCCUACCUUUCAUGACCUCAAGGGGUGAUUUAAACUCCAAGACUCUGCUAGGUAACCUAUUUAUGAUAUAGGUAGCUGCCAUGACUCCUUGGGACCAAAAUUUCUUUGGUACAUUCAUUUGUAGCAUUAGUGCUCUAGUUUUUUCAAGUAAGUCACAAUUUUUCCUUUCGGCUAUGCCAUUUUGUUGAGGUGUGCCAACACAACUUGUUUGAUGCAUGAUGCCAUAAGUGCUCAAAUAUUGUGUCAUGAUAUGAGAUGUGUAUUCGGUGCCAUUGUCAGACCUUAAAGUUUGAAUUUGAGAAGUGAAAAGGUUUUUAAGAAGAUUAUGAAAAUCCUUAAAAGCUUCCAUAACUUCAUUCUUAGACUUUAAGAGGUACAACCAUGUGGCUCUAGAGAAAUCAUCAACAAAUAUCACAAAAUACUUAUAACCAUCAAAAGAUUCUAAAGUUGGUCCCCAUACAUCCGAAUGGACAAGUUCAAAACACUUACUAGCCUUGGAUAAGGAAGAGUUAAAAGGUAAUCUAGUGGACUUAGACAAGUGACAUGUUUCACAUGAAAUUACAUCCUUCCCUAAGUUUGGAAAUAAAGUUGACAAAAUGGGUGGAGAAGGAUGAGCUAAACGUUGAUGCCACAAUUGGUUAUCUUGGAUAGAGUAGGACUUGGCUUGAAACCCUAUGGGAUUACUCUUCGAUAUGUAAUAGAGACCAUCUAGAUAAAACCCUUCACCAAUCGUCUUCUUGGUUGCACAUUCCUGAAAAACAACAUUGUGAUGGGAGAAUAUGCAAUUUAAGGUAUUUGUGAUUUUUCCCACAGAUAGGAGUUAAAAUGGAAAGGAAGGAACAUAUAAGGCCACCGACUCAAUUUCAUCAGAUAUUAAGUUGAUUUUUCCCUUUCCUAAAACCUUUUCAUUUUCACCAUUUGCAAUUGAAACUUAGGAAGGAUUUAAUAAUUUUCAAACGUAUGAAACUUAGACACAUGGUUGGUCAUAUGGUCUGUGGCACCCGAAUCUACAACCCAAAAAUCAUGCAACAUAUUUAUAUUAAGAGCAGUUUUGAAAGCUUUCAUGAUACCUUGCAUGUCUUCUUGAGGUACGUGUUUCGUGUCAGCCAAGAAACCAGCAAACUUGCCUAGCAAAGCUGUUGGGUUUCCGUCUUCAAUGUUGUCUAUUCGGUCACUUCCAGUCUCUCAUUUCUUUCUUUGAAGAUACAAUGCAAACUCAUUCAUGAGUGCAACUGGAUUAGCUGUGAAGUUCUUGACUAUGUCAGACACAUUUGAAGAGGAGGCAGACACAUGAUUUGCUCGAUGUACAGUACGGUUCACUCUCUGUGAAACCUUGUUGUCCUUCAUGAAAUCAGGCUUUAAUUCUGGAUGUAAAAUCCAACAUGUCUCCUUAACAUGGCCCGUAUAGUUGCAGUGUUGGCACUUCAAGUUUGGAUGCUUCACUUUGUACUUCUUCUCGUUGAUUAGGUAGGCCCUUGCUUCAGAUACAUUGGCCUUUGUACCAAUGUUCAUGACCUUCCUCCUUACUUUCUCACGUUGAAUUGUUGCACAAAUACUGGUGAAGGAAGGAAGUUAAGUGUUCAUGAGUAUGUGGCUUCGUAGGUCUUCAUAUUCUGAGUCGAGACUGGACAGAAGUUGAAAUAUCUUGUCUUCUUCUGCUCUCUUCCGUAGCAAAGCAGCAUCAGUGGUAUGAGGGCGAUAUAUUUCCAACUCAUUCCACAUGCUUUUCAUGCUACCUAAAAGUUAUUCAAAGGGUUUACCUUCUUGUUGCAGGUUGGAGAUGUCCUUUUUUAAUUGGAAAACCCGUGCAGCAUUGUUCUGACUGCCAUACAUUUCCUUGACAGUCUCCCAUAGCUGGAGUGAAAAUUCAGAGUAACUGAAUAUUUCAGCUAGGUUACAUUCCAUGGAAUUUAGGAGCCAUGACAUAACUAGCUGAUCAUUGCUAAGCCAGCAUUCAUAAGCUGGUGAGGAAGCAUCAGGAACUUCGAUGUUUCCAUUUAUGAAUCCUAACUUGGUCCUUCCACCUAGGGCAAGUGAUACAGCCCUCGACCAAGGCAAAUAAUUAAACUCAUUCAACAAGACUAAGCUUAAUCUUUGAUUUGGGUUGAUAUCCACCUCAGGCAUAUUCACGAAGGAAAAAACCAGUGACCUUUCAGCAUCCGACCCAAGAGGAUUGUCUUUAGCCAUUUUUAAGGUUGAACCCGUUCAGAUGGUAGUAAAGCAGAAGCAGGUUAUUUUUCCUGCUCUGAUACCAUAUUGAUUUUCAAGGAUUAUUUAUAUCUUUCAUGAAUGCAUUACAAUUGUUUAGCCGUAUAUAAGGAGAUGAACUCUCCUUGAGUUAUGCCACAACCGGUGGACUCCUAAGAAAAGAGAACAAAUGAUUAGAGACACACUUGAGUGGUUGCUUUACCCCUAACCCAACACACUUGAGUAGAUGCUUUAACCCUACUUAAAGAGAACAAAUGAUUAACCACUUAGGAGACACACUUGAGUGGUUGCUUUACCCCUAACCCUACACACUUGAGUAGAUGCUUUAACCCUACUUCCAAUAAUAGUGCCGAAUGCAAAUAUAAAAUUCAACAUUUCAUAUUAUUAACACAUUCGUGCGCCCAUCACAUGCUGCAAAGGAAGCAUUUUUGCCUCAGGUAUGAAAGUCUUUUGGCCACAUGGAAACUAAGACAAUAGCUUACUUGUGCAGUAUCAGUUUUAUAUGGAGAAAAACAUUCCCAUGGUUUAAUUGCCUAAGGAGUUACAUGCGAAGAUAUGUACACAUACCGCAUCAACAGCCAUCUCUGCAGGACCUCUGAUGCAAAUCAAGGAAGAUUCAAUAAGGCGACGGUAACCUUGUUCAGGAGCAAUUAGAUGAGGCUGGUAUCCAUCUGCUUCAGUAAUUAGCUUUCGGAUGUUAUCCAUAGAAAGAUACCUGUCAAACUGCAACCGUUUCAAAGCAGCUGGAAAUUGAUUGUCAAACACUCCAUAAACUUUCUCACCACCAGAGCGCCUGGAGAAAUUGAAAAUUAUCAUAAAUCCCAAGGUUGAAUAAGGAAACCAGAAUGAGAUGAAAACAAACUUUCCAAUUAACUUCAAAAAAGACAAUGAUAGCACAAUACAUACACGCCAUCCAGAUGUUCUUUAAAUAUCUGAUCGAAAGUACGAGAGAUUUCCAUGAUCACAUAUAAUUUUCCCUGCUUGUUAAAAAACGAUCGAACUGACAUUAGCAAUGCUUAUUGUAAUACAUACAAUACAACAAUAUAGACCACCCAAGAAAACUUUGCUAGGUAUACAUUAUUUAUUAUGGAAAAAAGGAAAGGAUAUGACAAAGAACUAUUUAUAUGUAUAUCCUUACUCCAGCAUCAGCAGCAAUAGGCUUCCCGAGUCGGCUUAGUUCUGCCUCUAGUUCACCAAUAGUUUUGCUGACAAGAGACUGAAGGCCUGGAAUUCGAGACUUGAUGACAACUUCUAGAUGCUGAAAGUUUGAUUACGUUAAGUGAUAGGUAAGAAGUUCAUAAGUAAAAAAAAAAAAAAAACACUGACCACCAUUGCAAAUGUAUCAUUAAAAGGAAGCAGACUGGAUCUCUUAAGUAUGCUUCUCUAACUUUAUAAUCUAUAAGAGCAAAUAAUUGUGUCUGAAAGUGCAACGACAACUGAACAUAUAAAAUGCAAUUAGGAUAACAAACCUGCAUACCUUAGAAAGCACCCUGCCUAAAUGCUCAGAGCCCAUCCUGUUUGCAAGAUGCCUGUACUCUGGGCUACCAGAAAAAUAUUCACGCUCUCGACGCCUAGCAGCAAUCAUAUCAACACUCUUGUUUAUAUCAGCUUGGGAGCGAUUGACAAUGCCAAUCCAGGGGAACUGUAGCUUAUAUGAUCUUCCUUCCAAAAUCUGAAAAGUAAAAGUAAAAUAAAACCCUAGAAACUGGAAACUCUCAUGUAGGCAGCCAUAAUGAUACUGUAAUGUGACUUUUGAGUACAAAACAGAUCGUGAAAACAUGUGUGCAGCAUUGAUGAUCUCAGAGCACCACCCUUACAAUUUAAUCAUAACAUUAGGUUUCACAGACCUAAAACAAGGGGUCCUAAAACAAGACAAUAAAAUGUCACCAAGCAGGUAAACUGCUUUGAUUCCACACUUAAAAGCGAACACGUUUGCUCUCUUCUUUUUUAUCUUCCUUUUUCCUCUUUUGGCUAUGAAUUCAGAAGUGACUUACAUCAACUGCAUUUGUACCCUGGUCCAUAAGAUCAAUCUUCGUCAGAACUCCAAAUGUCCUCUCCCCUGAGAAAUGGAACCAAAUUUAAAAUCAAUGUGUGUAAAUGGAAAAUACUCCUAAUUAGUGAAAUCUGCCACUUUUGAAUUGACAUAUGUUUUGGUCAUCCGAAGACGAGAGCAUUUCUCAAAACCAGAGGAAACAAAACUUAAACAUAUGAAAUCUUGAUAUCCUCCUUUCACCUCACUGCUACAAAUUAAAACUCAUCUUCUUAUCUUUUUCGUUCGUUUUCACAUCUUCACCCUUCCUGUUUACAACUUGUCAAAUUUGUUCACCUGCUCAAUCUUAUUACUCUUUUUUUUUUUUUAAUUUUUGGAAUUAAGUAGGCUUAUUAAUCAUCCCCACCAUGUAGCAAUCUUACCUUUAGGAUCGACUUCACGAGAGAUCUUAAUUGCAUCAGAAGUAGCAAGAUCUUGGUUGGCAGGGGAAAUAGCCAAAAUAAUACAGUUGGGCUGGCAAGAAAAGGCAUAUUAUUCCAAUAAAUUAAGCAUAUUUCAUGAGAUGAAACAUCUCAUAGAAACACAAAACACAAGUCUCAUAAUCUAAUAGCUCAUAAAUGUUCUUAACAACACAGUAAGAAGAUUACUUUCUCAAUGAAGGACCUAACCAUAUCCUCAAUGUCCUUCACUGUGCUCUCUGCUUGACCAUCUGCAAGACCACAAAAAUCGACACAAUGUCAACUUACAUAAGGUGCCAACUUCCAAGGGAAUUUAUCCGACCCUACUUGAAAAUUCUUAAAGGAGUUUAACUCACCAACAGCGACUUUCGUGAGCCCAGGAAGAUCGAUCAAUGUCAAGUUCACAACUGCCAAGAUCAAACAAAUAAUAAAGAUAAAUAGAACAGAUUUUAUGAGCUCCAGAGUAAAAAUUUAGUGAAAGAGAACUAAAACGACUAGAAAAAGCUUUGUGAGCUCCAGAGUAAGUAACCUCUCUUUCUUUCGUUUCUUUCUUAACAUUUAUCUUUAAAUUUAUUAUGAGCGAUCAAACCGAUCAGCUACAUUCUGAUUUUUGUGAAUGUAAAAUCCAACAAUUCAAAGUUUUCGACAAUUCUAUCUCACCGUUAGGGGAGAAGAUACUAAGAUGGAUGGGAACGGUAGAAAUUGCCUUCGAGCGGCCGGUCUCUCUGUCGGUUUCAUCAGAUAUCUCCUGUCUCACAGCAGCUACACAUACACAAAGAAACAAGAUCAACGUUUGCAAUGCAGGUCAAGAAACCGAAACAAUUUGCAGGAACAACGAAGAAGAAGAAGGAAAUUACCAAAAUCGGUGAACCGCUUCCUGGGGAGGUGCAUAAACUCAGCGUAUUCUCUUCCUUCGUCGAUCUUAUGCAGCUGCAAAACCAGAGGACGCCGCGUAACAAUUCCUGCACGCAACGUGUUCGAAUCAAAACCCGAACCCGAAAACCAACGCGUUCACGUAAGAAUCCAAAAAAGACGCGGUUUCAUGCAUUACCUGAACCGCGAGGAAGAAAGUCCUUGCCGACGACGCUCUCCAACACGGAAGACUUGCCGGAGCUCUGUCGAAGCAAGAAAGGAAACGAGAAACGAGAAACUCGAUGAGAUUUAAUUCAAGAAAGCGUGAAGUUUGAGAGGGAGAUAUUAGAAAUGAGAGACCUGGCCGCCAACGACGGCGAUGGCGGGCAAGGAGUCCCAGAGAGUGGGCAUGGCGCCCUCCUCGCCGUGGUCGCCGAGGGCUGUGCAAGCCCGCUGUAUUUUGUUCACCAGCGAUAUCAAACUCUCCAUCGGACGGACGUUUCGGAUCGCUGAGUCGAGUCGUUUCGAGGAUCGGUCGGAGGUGGCGAGCGUAGAGAGAGAGAAAUAACAGAAUUUUGGAGGGUAGGAAACGACGGGAAAUGGAAUACCGGGUCGUUGGUGCGAAAAUUUCUGAUGCGUCCAAAGUUUGAAAAUUGGGCAAGUUUUAGAUUAAAAGCCCAAAGAGAUGCGUGGACCGAUUCUACCGGAUCUAAACCUUUUUAUGGGCUUUAAACGAAUUCAUUUUUUAAGCCCAACUCCUAACCAUAUCAUAAACCGCCUGGCAAAAUUUGGUUUUCCCAUAUUCAAUGUCCUAUUCAAAUUUUACAGUCUAGCGAUAUUUCUUUUUUAUUUGUACAUGAUAGGUUUUAUGAGUUUAGUUUCAAUUUUAUUUGUGAUCUCUUCCCUUAGUGUAAAUAUAUUGUAGUAUAAAUAUAUUAUAAUGUCGAGUGUAUAAGUGCUUGUUGGAACCAAAUUUGCGCAUUGUCGUAGACAGAGAAGCUAGGCAAAUCCAACUACCUGAAAAAGAACAAACAACCACAAUUAACCUAAGGUACCAAUGGGGUACUAGUCAAAGGCUCCCUAGGAUUAGAUAUUGUGUUCUUGCAAGAGUAUGAUUACUUGUAGUGCACUUCAAUCCAUAAAUUGUACAAAUCUCGAAGAAUAUAGGAAACCCAUAUGACCCCUAAUCGAAUCAGAUUUUCAUGUCUUGUGAAACAAGAAUAGGCAAUCUUAGCGAAGUAGGACUUCGCCUACCUUUACGAAGUAUAGCAAGAUAUGGUGGCAUCGUUGGACUGUUUGAGCAGCUCAAUCCGAUUGGAACUAUAAGGUGUGUUGAUGCACAAAACCGGGGUGGUCUUGGAACAACGUAAAUCCGACCGUGAAUCUGCACAAACGCUCAAGAACACGAAGAACACAAAGAACACAAGGAUUUUAUCGUGGUUCACCCCAAUGUUUGGGCUACGUCCACACUGUAGUUGAUUCUGUUUCUCUGUAAGUGUAUGGAUACAAGUGUUUGGGGGAAGUCCCUAGAGAAAGAAGAGAAGGGAGAGGAGAGCCUCGGUGGUGUGAGGUCUCUCCUGAAUGUAAUGAGAGCUUCUCUUAGCCUUCUUAGGCUUGGCUCUUUUGCCCUCUUAGAAUGAGGGGAGGAGUCCCCUUUUAUAGAAUAAGGGGCUCCUCCUCUUUUACAAAGUAUGGACUUUAGUGUGAGGCCCAAAUACAAGGCCCAAGGCCCAAAUAUACGAGGCCCUAAAUAUGGUAUAAACAAGGUGCAUGACCAAUCCCAAUCUGUCUUACUUCGGCCCUAAAAAAUCAUGGUCCCACAUUGCUCUCUAUCACUAAAGCCACAUGUUCUAAGCUUGAACCCGACUUUAGUUGAUUAAAUAAGAACUCCACUUCUUUAUUAAGAAAGGAUAACACAUUUUCUUGUCCAUCCACAUGUGAUUAACGUAUUGUUAUUAUAGAAAUGUCAUAAUUAUAACCAUUUAUGUUUAAUUCUCUGCAAGAAAAAUCAAUCAAGUUUGAGAUUGUUUAAUUAUUUACAUAUAUUAAAUAAUUGAAUGUUUAAUUAUUUACAUAUAUUAAAUAAUUGAAUGGUUCAUCCUCAAAAUUUACUAGUUGCAAAAACUGUGAUUUAUACAAAAGACUAGUAAUUUCCAGUUUGAUUAAGUUUCGUUUGCAAAAGCAAUCCUUUAAUAAUAAUAAUAGAAAAACAAUCUUAAUUCGGCCAUUUUUAAUGCAGUGCCAAAUAAGUUAAUAACCCAAAAUGUCCUCUUUUUAUCCUAAACUCAUCCUAACCAGGAAUCUCCAAUAAAAUUCCAAUGUCAAUAUACUUAACGGGCUUGCUAAAUGUAGCCUCCUUUGUAGGUACGGGCCAACGUUGUGCUUGGGCUCCACCUUGUGCAAACUGGUUGAGCUGAUGCGCUGACUCUACUUUUGUGUGACGUAGUACAUCAAAUAUCAAAUACAAAAUGGUAUAAUACAAAUGAUUAAAAAAUUUGUUUAAGCAUCUAAUUACUUGGAUUAUGAUUCUUAAUGUACCAAUUGUAUUCCUGACAUACUGACAAAAUGGCCUUAGAAUUGAGUGAACAAAAGUAUUGUGCAAGUUCAAAUUCUGGUCCCAUUACCCGUUAGUGAGAGUGGACAGGACGUAAGUGCGGGAACUUCCGUGUAUCAAUUUCCAAAAAAGUCCAAAAUAAAAAACUAAGAGAAAAAAGGUAAUCAAGACUCUCUCUAGCAUAUUCCACCUCGUGCAAACUGAUUGGGUUGGUGUGCUAGCUCUAUUUUAAUAUGACGUAGUACAUUAAAUAUCAUAUGCAAAAUGUUAUAAUACAAUUGAUUAAAAAAUUUGUUUAAACAUCUAAUUACUUGGAUUAAGAUUUCUAAUGUACCGAUUGUAUUCCCGACGUAUUGACAAAAUGGCUUUAGAAUUGAGUGAACAACAGUAUUGUGCAAGUUCAAAUUCUGGUCCCAUUACCCGUUAGUGAGAGUGGACAGGACGUAAGUGCGAGAACAUUCAUGUAUCAAUUUCCCAAAAAGUCCAAAAUCAUAAACUGAGAGAAAAAAGGUCCUCAGACUCUCUAGCAUAUUCCUUCCUCAUUUGGAUGUCCAACGUAAAAUCAACCCAUACGCCUUCUUCUCCGCCACAAAUUCUCGUCCCAUAUAAAUUCACCAUUCCUUCGCUACUCCCAGACUCUGCUUCCACCAGGACCGCCACCUUCUCACACCUUCUCACAUCCUCUCUCUCUCUCUCUAUGAAAUGCUGACUGAAACCCAAAUCCUCUCAUGGACUCAGUUGUAACGAAACACUCACUCACUUCCUUUAAUCUCAGCCCCUUUCAAUCCACCACCGCCGCAGCAACCUCCUCCUUCUCCUUCUUCAGAUUCUCUCACUCCAGAAAACUCAGAACUUCAACGUCCUCAAUCUCCUGCUCCCACAGACCGCCUUCCAAUCCAAAAUACCCAAAACCCGGAUCGGAUUCUCAUAAUUUCCCCCUAAAUCCCCUCUGGGUUUUGGUCCCGGUCCUCCAAAGCAUCGGAGUCUUGGCCUCCUCACGAACCCAGAAGUGGGUUUCUUUCCUACAGGCUUACGGAGGGUCAGAGAGUUUCGUGGAAGCAAAAAGCAAUGACUUUUUACACAAUAGCGGGAUUGGGGUGGCGUUGCUGAGCGUGACGACCAAUGCCAAGGUGAAAAUUAGUCCUUUCGUGGCGCAAUUGGCUGCGAAUCCGACCUUUGUUUCGGGGCUUUUCGCAUGGUUUAUGGCGCAGUCAAUGAAGGUUUUGCUGAACUUCUUUGUGGAGAGGAAGUGGGAUUUCAGAAUAUUGUAUUCCUCCGGAGGUAUGCCGUCGUCGCACUCGGCGUUGUGCACGGCAUUGACGACGUCUGUGGCGCUCUGUCACGGGGUUGCGGACUCGCUUUUUCCGGUUAGUUUGGGGUUCAGUCUCAUUGUUAUGUAUGAUGCUAUUGGUGUUCGACGGCAUGCUGGUAUGCAAGCAGAGGUAAGCAGUAAAUUUCCGUUCUUUCAAUUUUUGUUCAAGUGUUGUGGAUGUAGUUUUUUAUUUUUUGCAUAUAUCUGUAAUUUAUUUGAGAUGUUAUUGGUUUCAAGAGGUGCUUUUGGUAUGAUUGAUUAGUGUAAUAUUGCAUAUUGGUAGGAAGGAGUUAUGGAACUUCUAGUGGUCCCAAUGGAUGAGGUGAGUACAAUGAAGUUAAUGAAAUAUAAUUACAAAUUAGGAGCUAAUAUUUUACCGAGGAUUAAGGGUGACUAGAAUCUAGAUCAUACAGUUGAAUGUGAUUAUCGAGUAUGGAGGUUUAAAGUUAAUCAAUUAAGACGUUGGUGUGGUUGGCCCUUAGUUGGAUAGGAUCGGGGAUGACCGUGGUUUUAGAUUAUUGGGGUUUUAGAGUUAAUGAGGUUGCUGAUAGGUAGUUUUGAAGCAAUCAAUCUAUGUGAACAAUUCAUGAAGCGCAGUGCCAAAGCACAAUGCAACAUCCUUCCUCUUUUUUGUUUCACGUUCGAGUUACAGUCCUCCUGCAAUGUAUUCACAAGUUCAGCAAGAUUUAAUAGUUUCUUCUCUGCCUGGCCCGUUGAGUGUGCAAUGUGUGUGAAUACCACGCUUUGAUCAUAUGUAAACAACGGAAUAUGGGCAUAUUGUGAGAAUUUUUCGCAGCUCCCAGUUGAACCUAAAAAUUAUUUGAAAGCUGAAACAAUAUAGAUAGAAAAUUUGAAGUUUUGGGUUUUACUUCCGGCGAAGUUUAUGUUGGGGAGUGUAUGUAGCUUUAGGUCAGGUCCAAUAACUAGGAAACCUUCAGUUUUUUUACUUCUCAUGGAACUGAAAGAGAAAUUUAAGGCAGUAUUAAUAUCUAUAGUAUGUAUGAAUGAGGGGACAAUCCUUUGUAAUCUCGAGCAAUCUCAUUUUAGUCUUCUUUGAACCCUUCAAUAUGUUUUUCGCCUGAGAACCCUGUGUGCAUAUAUGUUGGGCUCUGAUAGUUAUUUGACUUCCUGCUGCCGUGUUGUAUACAUUUUCAUAUAUAUUUUUAUUUCUUUUGACACAGGUCCUUAACAUAGUCGUUGAGUACUUGUUCAAGGGGCAUCCCAUCAGCCAGAAAAAGCUCAAGGAACUCCUUGGCCACACUCCCUCCCAGGUUAUUGGUGGAGCUCUCCUCGGCAUUUUGGUUGCUUGCGUUUGUUGUCAGGGCAGCUUGGUUGCCUCCUGAACUGACCUUGCAGGUAAUUUCAGUCGGAUUUUUGUUGACACACAACAUUCUGGUGUUGACAUGGCCAGAUAAGUCAUUGUACUUUAAUUCUUCAUUCAAAACCAGAGAGACAUUGGUUCAAAAAGUUGAUAGCAAUGUUAUUUUAUCCCUCGCAAAACCGAUCCCCGGCCCUCACUGACUAUGGACAAAUUUGAGAAAUGUAUUCACAGGGCCGGAAAUUUGUUGUAAGAUGUUUCAGGAUUCCCAAGAAGUUGGCCUGAAAUUUGGCUUGAAAGGGGACUGCUGUAACUCUGUAAACAAUCUGUGUAUGAUUCUGUGAAUAGUUGACGACCCUGGCCUUGUCUCCAUAGAAGAAGCUGCAAGAUUAUUUCAUUUUACCUUUCAACAUUAUUUCAUUUUACCUUUCAACCAACACGGCUGACAUUUUGUUCAUCUUUGCGAAAAAUGGAUCAAAGUAGUAAUUAAUCAAGCAUUUGAUUUUAUUUCGUUCGAGCUAUAGCUAGACUUGUUUGAGUUAGGUCUUUUUCUUUAACUUACUGCAUCUCGAAUUUAAGAGCAGUUCCAGUGUGGGAACCCUCCCCCCAUGCUAUUCACUAUUUAAUUCAUCUAGUAAACAAUAACUGCCCUUAAUGAACAGUAAUUACCUUUUGCAUCUCUAUCCCUACACUUAAAUAGUUCUGGCGAUAAGUAAAUAAAAUAAUAGUAUUUUUUGCAACUUGCUCACAUCACUCACGUCACUUCCUCUCUUUCCACUCAUCCUUCUCACUUCUCUCCAUUUUUUCUAAAGUUCCUCUCUCUCUCUCUCUAAGCUGUCGACACUCUCACUCUCUCUAGAGCUCCGAGAGCUCUCACACACUUUCCUCUUCAAAAAUUAAACAAAUCAAACUCCAAAACCAUGAAACCUUAAUCUCUGGGACUAAAAGAUCCUAGCUAUACGGUUGCAUGCGUCAUCGGACCAUCACGGUGUAAACUGUCAUUGAAGCCGAGAGCUUCAAGAUUUAAAACUCGAACACAGGUGAGGUUCUCUAUGAAAAUCUUGUUUCAUUAUGUCUUAAUGUUGUUUGGGACAAGAUUUGUGGUGUUUUUCCAGUUCGAAACCAAAGGUUUAACCCCUUGCAAUUUCUUUGAAACCUUGCCCAGUUUUUGGUCACCUCCUCGGAGCACACUCCAGCAAGUUUGUGGGUUAUGGAGCUCUUGCUCAAUUCGGCAAGGCGGUGGUGGUCACGAGGCGAAGGGAUUGGGAAGAGUCGUCAUCACUGUCGUCCAUCCACCGUGAGACGACGACGUCGUUCAAGAACCAUGAAGGUUGAGAAAGAGCAAAGGAAAUCUCGUCCACCACGUGGCUGACGUUGCCGUCGCCCUGACGUCAAUCCACGUCAGACUGCAUUUAGGCGCUUGAGCUGGCACGAAUCGACAUGUCUUCUCAGGCUGUCUUGCCAGCCAACGCUGGGCUUCCUCCCUCAGGCAAUCAAGCCCCAUUCCGCAGCCUGUCCCUUGAGCAUGAGCUCCCGCUGGAGCUGUUCUAAACACUCACCUAUCUUCUUAUUACAACUCAGAGUGUAACAAUAAUAGUAUUGCUUAUCAUAAGCAUCACGAAAGAGCUCAUGAGUGAUGGAAGUGUAAAUUCUUGGAACAUAAGAUAUCAAAUAACUUGAGAGUUGGGUAUUAUUUAUAUAUAAUUUUAAAUUUUAAAUUGAUUUCUGACCGUACGAUGUACGAUGAACGGACAUAAUUUAUGGAUCCUUGGAAUCCUCAUAAAGAGGAUCCGGAGAAGAUCCAUAUCCUUUUUUAUCCUUUAGAGAAAUGCUAAAGAAAUUUUCUCAACAUUGGGACUCUCUCCCUUCUUAUACUUUUGAUACAAUAUUUUAUAUUAUUAGCAUAGAAAGUUAACAUAAAACGGUGAAGUGAUAGAGAUCCUGAAGAGUCCCUUUGUUAGAGUCUCCUUGGCAUUUCUCUUUUCUUUAUAUUUUUAUAAUGAGGAAGCCGUGAUCGACAGGUGUAUAACGUUGACCUUCGCAUUUAGCUAACACGAGUUUGCUUACUGUUUUCUUAGGUCAUCACCAACCGAAGGAUCCAGAAGGUCAGAGGACAGAAAAUAGCCCGAAAACCGUCUCCAACCGAGGAUUAGUAAGAAAUAUGACUAUACAUUGUUCAUUAAAAUAUUAAUUUAUUAAAGGACCGGAGGGCUCUUCAGUUGGAGAUGGCUUACAACCUUAGACUGAAUCGAACAAGAAACCUAUAAUUGUUUGUUCGUCUCCAUCUUUGUCUCUUAAUCCAUACGAAUUGAAGAACCCUACAGAUACUUUCUCCAAGUCAAAUUACGGGAAAAUAAAAACCAAAGAUUGAAAUUCAGAAACUCGCAGGAAGAAGGAAAACAAGAAGAAGAGGAAGAAGAGGAAGUUCCAUUAUUUUAAAGAAAAACUAAUGAAAAAACCUUGAAAACUUUGAGUUUUAACUGACAAAAUAAAAGGUAAAGUGAAUAGUACCAUGAUUGACUUUUUAAUGUAAAAAUGUGGUUUUUUGUUAGAAUGAACAAUACAAGUGUUUUUCGUUAAAAUUCCUUUAUUUUAAUGGGCACCUCCAUCUCAAAGAAAAGGAGAGCAAAAGCCGGCCAAAGUGCCAGAUCGGGAUCAUCUGGUUUGGACGAGCAUCAUGCUGUUCUUGCUUCCCAAACCCCAUGUGAGUAUAAUUUAAGAAACGCCUGAUAACCAUUUUAGUUUUUCAUUUUUACUUUCUUUUUUUUAAUUGAAAACCAAAAUCCAAAAGCUUUUUUUUUUUUUUUAGUUAUAAAUUUACGUAAUUAAAGUUGGUAACUAAAUAAGUUUUCAGAUUGAAAAUAUAUUGGGUUGAUUUUGUUAUAAUUAAGUUUUUUUUUUUUUUUUUUUUUUUUUUUUUUUUUUUUUUAAAGGACUUGUUAUAAUUAAGUUUGAUAAUCUGAUGUUGUACUGAUGUUUUGGGAAAUGGCAGUUUCUGAGGGUGAGGUGGAGUCCUUGUAUGAGCUGUAAAGAAACUGAGCAGUUCUGUAGUUAAAGACGGGCUCAUACACAAGGUCUGUCUGUUUCCCUCUUUUUUCUUCAGAAUUUGAAGUAUUUGUUUACUAAUAUUUUAUUUUACUUUGAAUUAAUUCUAAAGAAUAAUUUUGAAAAUUUGACUUUUUUUUAAGAAAAACUAAUGAAAAUGAUUUCAAAACUUUGAAUUUUAACGAUAAGGACAAAAUAAAGGGUAAAAUGAAUAGUACAAUGAUUGACUUUUUAGUAUAAAAAUGUGAUUUUUCGUUAAAAUGAACAGUAUCAUAAUCUUUUCUUUAAAAUUACCUUUUUUGACUGCUUUUAUAAUUUGAUGCUUAUUAUGAACAGGAAGAGCUCCAGCUUGCCCUUUUCCAAAAUCACAAAAAAGGAACCUCUUUUUAGCGGUAAAUAUGUGGUCUUAAAUUAAUUACCAUUAAUAUUGUUUUUUCACUUUCUUAAGAUGCAUGAUUUUGUUAUUAUAUUAAAUUUAUUAAUUGAAUGGAAAUUAGAAGUGAAGCCUUUUGGUAUAAAGAUAUAUCUACUUAAAUGAAGUGUUACAACUUUUGACUCGUCAUGAAUAAUUACAUACUUUCCAAAGAGGUAUCUCACAUUCUAUAAAAUAGGGAAGCCCCUAUAAUCAUUAAGAUAACUUUUCAUUGUUAACAUAAUCAUACAUAGAGUGCACUAAAUAUUAGAGAGUCUUAUUGAGUCCAUAUGAGAGAGUUUUCAAAUCAAUCGUGGUUCAUAGAGCCUUAUGAUUUGGAGUGCUACUAUUACAAAGACAGAGUCGUUGUAUCUUGGGAGAUAUGUGCCGAUCAACCAUAAGCACCGUCGUGGGACGUAAACUUAUCUUAAGGAUAAAGUGUCCAACACUUGUCCCGACCAUAUUUUCUAGGUUUUUCUAAUCCAUUAUAUCAUGUUUAUUUAAUAUUAGUUACUCAUGUGCAUUUAUUAUUGUGAUAUAUAAUUGCAUGAAUUAUUUCUUGAUUUUCUAUGUAAUUUAUUAUAGCAACUAGACCCCAAUUUUUCCAACAGUAUUUGUUUAUACCAUACUUAGGGCCUCCGUAUUUAGAUCUCGUAUAAAUACUCGGGGGACUUAAAUGUAAUUAUAUAAUAGAGAAAUGGGCAAAUAUAUAAUAAGUGAUGAGCCUUUAUUCUAUAAAAGGACUCAUCACCUUCCUCAUUAAGAGAGGCCAUUUCUUAAGCCUUCUCACCCCUCUCACAUCCCCUCAUAUUCAGAGGUUCUCUUCCUCACCUCUCAGAUAAAUAUAAUAAUCAAUGUGGACGUAGCCCAAACAUUGGGGUGAACCACGAUACAUCUUGUGUUAUUUACAUUACUUUCAGAUUCAUGGUCGGAUUUACGUUGUUCCAAGACCUCCGGUUUUGUGCAUCAACAUUUGGUGCCGUCUGUGGGAACCGAUACGAAAAGUUGUGUCGGUUCUCUCUCAUUUUUUCACCUCCACCGUGAAUCUGCAAAAACCCAGGAAACCAAAUACUCUCUCUCUCUGGAAAUCCAAAAAGCAACAAACUUUGUGUGCGAGUGCAACUCGGGUGAGUCAGUGACCGAGUCAUGAGGACUUUGUCAAGUCCGAGUUUGAGGGUGGUGGUAGAAAAAAGUGGGUGGGCAGAGAAAAUGAAUGAACGCGGCGUCAUCUUCCUUCCGUGAUUAGACCGAUCAUUUGCCUCUCGUCAAAAACCCAGCACACCAGAAGCUGAGCUGCUAAUGCAGCAUACGUAAAUGUAUGAACGCGACGUCAUCCUCCUCGCCUCAAAAGCCCAUGGGCCCGAGACCAAGCACUCAUCCUCCUCAUUCUCCGCCAAUCAAGGGCUUCGACUUGAACAACUUUGUUUACGAAGCUAGGGUUUGUUGUAGUAUUAACGACAACUACAAGAAACGCAGCUUUGCGCAAGCUUUUAAUGACAGCGAGCAUGACAAGACUAGUUCUACUACUAGUGCAACGGCCGUGCCUCGAACGCCACCUUUGUUGCUUAGGAACAAGCAACCUAACAGUAACAGUGAAGAGGAAUAGGACGACAACAACCCUAAUAAAACAACAACAACAACACCGCAGCCUCUCCUUCUGCUCUUUCGUCUUCUUCCUCCCAUGAAAAUGGCAUAGCCACCCACAAACGAAAAAGAAGACUUGUAGGCACACCGGAUCCGAAUGCAGAAGUGGUGUCUCUGUCCCCCAAGACCCUACUCGAUCCGAAUGCCAGAAACGAAGACCUCCACUAUGAAGUUCGAAACGGUGAGGCCGUGGAGAAGGUCUCACCCGUGACCCUUAUCACUGUGAUGGAGUGCCAUCCUCGUCUUUCGAUCAAGGCACCCAAUGACGAAGAUGCCAUCAAGUUCUAUGUGGCCGUCCUGGGCGCCGUGGAGCUUAAGCAUGAAACUGAUCUCAAGCAAGAGGCUGACUAGGAGCGUCCGUACAUCUACAAUGCGAAGCUCAAGCUUGGGUCCUUCACCUUCCUUGUGACUGAGUCGGCCUCGAUGGUCGACUCCGGCGACGGCGAAGUUCUAGCUGACGGUGGUUUUAAGCAAGGAGUCAUAUGGAAAUGGAGAGGCUUUCCGCUAAAAAAAAUCACUUUUUCUCGCCUUUAAGGAUGCUGGGGGCUUUGAGGCUUUAGUCACUGGGAAGACAACAGACAUGGAUCAGAUUGAUGUGAAUGAGAGGAUAACUGCUUUGGAGCGGAUCAAUCCAACACCAUGUCCUACAACCUACCCAGGUCGCCUUUUUUGGAAGGACAAUGGAAUUUCGAGUGGUUUGGAUCUGGAAGCCCAGGUCUUUUUGCUGCCAGAUUUUUGUUUGAGAGGCUUCCUUCAACUUUGGCUAGUUUGAGAAAAAUGCAGGUGGUCAUCAAGGAUGAGAAUGCAAUGAUUACGGCAAAAUUGAAAGUGUUGAACUCGUGUAUGUUUCAGGCAAGUUGGUCGUGUUUGCAUCAGAACCUUGGAUUGCAUGUGCAAUUUGUUUAGGUACUACAUCACAAGACCAGCCGGUAGAUCUGUGUAAACCAAAGUCUGCAACUUUUUCCAUCCUUUUUCCUGGAAACUUAGGAAAAGUAGCAAUUUUAGCUGUGGACAGCAACGCAUGGUUGCUUUCUACUUUGGUGCCAAAUUCGGUUUUGACAAGACUGAAAGCGCAGUGAAUAGAAACAAAAGCAGAAAGCAAAAAAAAAAAAAAAAGAGAAAAGAAGACAGAAACAAAAGCAAAAGCAAAGCAAAAGGAGAGAAGAGAAUAAAAUUUGAAAGAUUGGGUUUUUUACUGAGCACAUGCAUGAUAGCAGCACAGAGACAGAUACAGAGAGAUGUGUGGUGGAAAAGUAAAAGCAGAAAGCAAAAGUAAGGAAUAAACACCUUACCAGAAUGAUGUGAUUUACUUUUCUUAUUUUUAUGAUGUAUUUUUCCUAUCUUUCGGAAACGUCUGUAUAAACCCCAUCAGAGGGUAAUAGUAAUAAAUAAAUAAAAACGACAAAGCCCAAAAUAAAUGGGCUGGAAUGUUGUGUAGAGGGCGAAAGCCUAUAAGCCCAAAAUAGCUUCAACCAGGCGAUCAAAAGUACACCCAGUACUCCAUAAUUAUUCGACAACCUGCCGCUAUUACCACCAACCAAGUGAUCAAAAGUACGCCAGUACUCCAAAAUUAUUCGGCAACUUGCCACUAUUACCACCAACCAGGUGAUCAAAAGUACGCCCAAUACUUCAAAUUAUACAUGAGCAGUACUCAUGUCAAUCAUACAUAAACAUUCAUGAGCAUCACUCAUGUCAACAUUCAUGAGCAUCACUCAUGUCAAUCAACGUAAACAUUCAUGAGCAUCACUCAUGUCAAUCAGCUUCAAAAGCUUCAUUUACAGAGCUACAGCUUCAAAAGCUUCAUUUACAAAAGCUCUAACUUCAAAAGCUUCAUUUACAGAGCUACAGCUUCAAAAACUUCAUUCACAAAAGCUCCAGCUUCAAAAGCUUCAUUUACAGAGCUCCAGCUUCAAAAACUUCAUUUACAGAGCUCCAGAUUCAAAGCUUCACUUGCAAAGCUUCACCUACAAAGCUUCAAUACAGGGUAUACAAAUACCGCCUCCGAACAAAUCGCUACUUCGGCCCAUACAUGGAUUCAAUUUGAAGUUUCCAGCCAACAGAUUCUAUUGACCAAAGACUUGAGGGACUACACUAUACACCAUAUAUUGGGCCUCAACUGGGCCUCAUAAAAAAUACUUGGGGAACUCUGACUUAGUUUGGGAGUGAGGUGCUUAAAAAAAAAGCACCCAUGAAAAAAAGCUGUGAGGGUUUUAGGUGUUUGGUAAACUGAAAAAAAAAAGGCUUAUUUUGGAAGCUGCUGUGAGAAUAAGCUGAAAUCAAAGGAAAAAGCUGAAGCUGCUAUUUGCAGCUUUGGAAAACUGGUUUUUUUUCAAAGCACACGGAGCUACAGUGCUUCUUUAAUGAAAAGACCCACUAUUAGACUGUUUUUUUUUUCCAAAAGCACUUUUACAAAAAAGUUUACCAAACACUCUGCUGAUUUAUUUCACAGCCGCUUAUUCUCACAGCACAGCCGCUUAUUCUCAUAGCAGUUUUUUUUCAAAGCACAGCAAUACCAAACCAGCCCUCUAGCUCAUCACUUAUGUAUUGAGGAACAAGCUCUUAUUCUAUAAAAGAGACUCCCUCACUUUCAUUAGAGAGCACCCAUUAUUCAUGUACUAAGGAGCGAACCCUUAUUUUAUAAAAAUGACUCCCUCACCUUCAUUAGAGAUCAACGCCGCAAGGAUCACUCCUAACCCAUCACUUAUGUAUUGGGGAGCGAGCCCUUAUUCUAUAAAAGGGACUCUUUCACCACCAUUAGAGAGCAUCGCCGCCUACUGAGCAACCGCUUCGCCGCGAGCAUCAACUCUAGCCCAUCAUUUAUGUAUUGAGGAGCGAGCCCUUAUUUUAUAAAAGGGACUCCCUCACCUUCAACGCCACAAGCCGAGCCAACCAAGGAAACAUAAGCCACAAGCCGAGCAGCCUCGCAACAUGUGAUAGUUG